rnacentral:lncRNA from 1 species
CCUCAACCUCCUCUGGCGAUUUUGUCCCUACCGUCAUUUCCCCAUGUCUUCAUCACCAGCUGAGUACACCCGAACAUGGGAGAACUUCUUCCUUCCAUGGGGGGUCCCCCGUCUGGCUGACAUAUAGGUUAUCGGGAGUUCCCCUAACGCCUCCCAUACCCAUGUGGGCACCUCGUGUGUUGGAUGUCGGCACUACAGCGCUUUGCAUAUCGCACAUACCAGAAUCCCCUACCUUAUUACUCCCAUAUCCCAUAUAAGCCACAUGUGCACAUUUGUAGGCAUGAGGCACAGCGAGGUGCCCUGGCAGUACGACACCGCCAGGCCGCUCCCGCCCCCGGAGCACCCUCCGCAUCUAGUCUACUUGCCACAGGGGCUGCUCAGCAGUCGUACGGCAUUCGCGGCGCUGCACGCGCGCUGCCUGGCCCAGGGCCUAGCGCUCAAGGUUGUAACGGCGGCCUCCACUCCAAACCUACAAGUAGUGGUGAGACCAAGAAGCGUGCCACGAGGUAGAAGCGAUCAAGCGAAGCGAUUCAUGUGAAGCGAUUCAUGUACCACCCUCGCGAUCUGGAUUAUAAAGCUCCUCACAAUCGUUUGCAAGUGUGAACACUAGGGCUGGGAUUUCUAGCUCGGAGCCGGGAGCCACAGCCGGCGGGGACUGCUGGACCGGGGGACGUUGGACCGUACUUUUUGAGCCAUGGGAAACGAGGGUCCAUGCGCGUUCAUGCAGUGCUGUCUUAUUUGCUGGGUCCAUGGAGGUGCGUGCUUCCCGCGUGAGCGGAAGUCCUCCUGCUCACUCUGUCUUGCUGCAUGCCGGCCCCCUUUUUCUUAUCUUGAAGCUACCCUUGGAGAAUCCUGCAGCCUUCCCACAUUUGCAAUCCCAACUUGGCCAUCCAUUUGUGUGUGUGUGUGUGUGUCGUUUGCCCACCCCUCCUCGCAUUGCAGAUGCUCUUAGUGGCCGCCCACAGGCAGACCCACCAUUACCAACCGCCUAUGGCGGCAGCAGUACCAGCAGCGGGAGCAAGUAGAGGGGACAUUCCUCCAUUGCGCUCUUCCAUGUCGGCUCCUGCUCAGCCGCAGGCAUCUCUCACCAAUCCGACCGGGGACCCGAACAUCAAUAACCACCACAGCCGUCCUCCUCACCAAGACCAUCAACAACACCAUCAUCACCAGCAGCAACAGGAGAUCUUGUAUCCUUCUUGUCGUCCUUACCAGCCCAGCAGCGACCCCAGUAGCUGCCUGGGUGGCCCUCGUGAGGCGGGGAUGGUAUCAGGGGGCGGCGUAUGCGUGGCAACGGUGGUGAUGGCAGCGGGAACGGCGCCCUCGCCCACAGCUCCAGGGGGGUUGGAGGCGACAGCACCCCCUGAGGCCUCCGGGCAGCCGCCGCAGCAGCACGAAAGCCAACGGAGAGGGCUGAACGGCGGUGUGGGUGGUGCCGGCGCAGCGGCGGUGUCGGUGUCACCUACUCUGUCUGCGAUGCCGACAUCUACGCCGAUAUGGGACCAGCAGCUGCCGACUCAGGCGCUUACCGCAGAGGCGAAGGCGGGGACGGCCCUUGCGACAGUAAUGAGCAAUGCGACAGUGCAGAUGGCUGGAGCUGCUGGAGCAGGUCCAGCGGCAGCUGCCGGGGCAAUGGUUGCCGGGGUUGGGGCUGGGGACUCGGCAGCGGCAGCGGUGGUGACACCAGUUCCAUCAGCAACAGGAGGCGAGGAUGGUGUUGGCGUUGGGUGGUGGUCCACCAUAGGGCAGCCGGGAGGAGGAGUCGCCGCCACGAACCCUGUGAAUGGAGGAGGAGGGCGAGGAGGAGGAGGGCGGGGAGGGGGUCAGCUGUGCUUUUAUGCAUAUUUUGUGCCAUACAAACCGGGACGCGACCUGCGGCCCGACCAGCCGUGCAACGGCUGGUGGAAACGGCGCCUGGGCGAGCGUCGCAACCGUGACCGGGUGGGCGAACUAGCUCAAGCUCCACACAGGAUAUAGGGAUUCCCUUCACCGGCUUCUUUCGUGCCUUUUGCAUUAAUCUUGAUUUGCUGUCGGCCCAGUGUCCCCACACCGCGCUUUUGGCUUACCAUUUGCUCAGCGCGACUCUUCUUCGUCCUCUCGCCUGGUUCUCUAUGAACGCACACUUUCCAAGAAAAACUGUCGAUUUGACGCAUUUCCCCUCAUGCUUGUGUACUCUUUUCCUCGUUCUGUGACUCCCUGUCAUCCCCUUUCUCCUUUUACCCCUUCGAUUCUUCUUUUCCCGUCUUGCCCACUUCCUCAUCGCCCUCUUUCUGCACCCCACCAUCCUUUCCCCGCCAGGACAAGGACGUGUUGGCCUGGCGCCAGGACUUGCGGCUCCUGGGUCCCCGGCGACCCGACGGCCUGCCCUUGGGAGAGGCGCGUGUAAGGCUGCAGGGCUACUGGGACAGCUCCACGUCGCUGUGCAGGGGCGCGGCGGCGCCAGGGAAGAUGCAGUCUGGCUGGGAUUGGGUUGGUGGCAGCUCAUCCCUGCAGUUGCACUGCUGCCAGGUGACGUCAGUGCUGCCGGAGACGGUGUUCAUGUACUCCAUGCUGCCCUGGUGGCGUAAGCCGGACGACUUGCAGGUGAUGAGGGAGGGCUGGUUGCUAGCUGCUUCACCUGCACAGGUGCACGUCGCAUGGAUGUUGUGGGAAUGUAUGCAUAUAUGUUGUUAACUAUGAUCGUAUAUGUGUUGUGGGGUCUGGAAUCAGUUUGCUUGUAACUUGUUCCUGUGUAAGAAAGAGUUGAGUUAGUGAGCCUGCUUACAUACAACGUACACGUGAGUGGGACCUCCGUGCACGACCAAUUACUUCAUAGCACAGCAGGAUUGAUGUAAAUAGCGUGAGAUAUGGACGUGCCAGCAGAGCGAGUCGCAAAGGGGGUUUUCAUAUAGUGUAUAGAUAUGCUGCCCAACAACUUGUACCUGAUGUAUUCCGGGCAUGUCAAGGGAUCUGCAUCCGCUGAUCGGUACCUUUCUGUAGCAAACCCUGUUGUAGUCGUGAUAUCACUGUAUCUCUGCGUAGGCCAGCCAGGUUUUCGGCAGUUAGGCCCAAUAAGGAGGCAGGCAUGGAGGUGAAGCAGCUUCAAAGCUGCUAGUUCCUAGUUGUUGGUCCUGCUGCCUGUAUGCUGUAUUUCGUGUCCAGACGCAUGCGUAUGCACCUAACGUGCGCCCCGGCCAUAUACAGGGACGCUGUGUGUAUAAGAGACAACUAACAAAGCAACCUGGGCUGCAGAUAGAUAAUUGCAUGUAGUGCACAUGGAUGCACACCAGCGUCCACCAGUGAAUCUUUGCGCUCUAGCAUACAUAACGACGUAGGGAUUAUCGACCCCUACCACACCCCAGCUGACUGGGGAGAGGACCAGCGGCUGUGUUUCUGGUGUACAUGUGUACUGUAGAUAUACAUACGUACCUAUCUGAUAUCUACCUAUUUGGGACGUAGAGUCUUCGGCCCCCUGGCCCCCUCAGGGCUCCAGGUAUGGGGCCCCCCAGGGUUACAAGGUGUAUAACACAUGUAGGAAUAUACACGUGUACGCAUGCAUAUCUACAUAUCUACACAUACAUACGCACAUACAUACACACAUACAUACAUACAUACCUCCUGCAAGGAGGAAGGGAUGUAAAGUUACCGCAGCACAUAUGUAGGCGGGACACGUACCUACGUCAUAUAGCGCCUCACGCAGGGCUGUGGCCCUGGGCAGGGGGUUCGUUCAGGUUGUGUCCCACCCCAAGAGAGCCUGAUGAUAGAUGGAGGCGUGGAUGGCCCCGUUGUGUAGCUUGCCCUUACACGCAUCCAACCAUACCAGCCGCUCUCGCCAAUCAACACAGGGCACCUUGGAGCCGGUGAUGGCGCACCUGCACGACGGCUUCCUGCGGGAGUGCCAAUGCGCCGCGUGGGAGUGUGGGAAACUCAGGUAGGCGUGAUAAGAUAGAGGCAAGGUGGGGCGGUAGUGGAUGUGUGUGUGUGGUGUGGUGGGAGGGGUCGACAACUCCGGGACUGCUGAUUGGGAGUAUUUCGAGAGGAAGUUUAAGUUGCAGAUCGAUUAUAAGUCUAGAAGCUUCCCUGGUAUUAUGUACAACAGCAGAGCAUUCCUUGCGCACUUGUUGAGACGUUGCGUGUGGACAGUGCGAAGGAGGUCAAGAGGGUUUCAUCCCCCCGCUACGAGGAUGCCGUGGAGGAUAUCCCGUGGAGAAUGAAAUCUUACGGAUUAGCGCUUAUACUCGGGGUGAUGGCAGGCGCGGAAGAGGGGCUCAAGUUGCAGUUUCGUUGAGCUAUGCAUUUUAUGCGGGCUGCUACUGCUGAACCCCUGGCAGGUUAUGCAGGUGGGUAGGGGUUGAAGCAGUGGACCUGGAUUGCCCCGCUGCUGUACGAUUCCGUCCCAAACCAUCACCCCGGCUGCCACACCCUCCAGCUCGAAACCUCAAAUCCCAAAGUUCUCGGAGCAAACGGGUUCUCGCCGGCAGACAGACAGACAGACAGAUUUUUUCAGCACAUCGUACUGGCUGUCAUUUUUCCCUAUUUGUUGGUCUUCAAUCCGUUUUCUGCUUUCCUUUAUACCUUUUUGCCUCUCCCCUUCGUUUCCUCUUCUUUCAGCGGAUUGUCCUCCUUUCCACUCCUCUCUCCUCCCCGCGUAUUCCUCCUCUUGCCCAUCCUUCUGUUUCCCGAUUUGGGUCACUCACUCCUGGCUUCGCUUGUCUCUUUCGUGCUUCCCUCUACUCGUUUUCGUCCAGGCAACGCAUCCACUCACUUCUACCAACCCAUCUACCUGUGCCUAUCAGGGCACGUCAGGCACUUCGUCAUGUUCGCGAGCAUGGAGUGCAGUACAUGUUGGAGGUGCGGGCAGGGGAGCGGCUGGGCGCAGGCCAGCUGGGGGUGUUUGCGGGGGAGGCCAUUCCCGCGGACACCUACCUGUUCGAGUACGUGGGAGUGUGGUUGCCCAGGGGCGAGGUGGGUUGAGUGGGUGUUGUGUUGUGCUGGGUUGGGGUGAGGUGGGGUGGGUGACGGUGCCGCGUGGGGUGGGGUAGCCAUCGUGUGUAUACGAAUGUACGCCAAAUGCAUGAGUCGCUAUGUCAGUACCGUCAAGGGUUGGGUGGCCGGGUGUAAAAAAGUGGACGGCUAGGCAUCCGGAUUGGACAAGAUCACGAUUUGAGCGACCCAGCAAGAGUGCAGGGGAGUGGUGGGGGCCCACUGCACAUUUGGGGUGGAGUGGUUGGGUGGGCUCACACUUGUAUGGUAGGAAUAUGCCCAGACGAGGGAUAGCCCCGAGAGAAGAAAGAGCUGGGGAGGGAGCAAGCAAAGGAAUCUGAGGGAAAGCACACUGCAGAGGAAUAGCCGUAGCGACAGUCGAAUCAAGUGAUAAGGCUGCCAGCAAUAAUGCCUGAUGUCUGUUGUGAGGGUGUCCGUCUCGUCACGAGCAAGUUGCCAGAUUGGUAAGAAGGACAGAGGCAAGCAGGGCAGCCCGUGGCGGCGACAGCAGCCGUGUCAUGGCAUCAUCAUCAGUAAUAACGGAAGGGAUAGCGAUGGUGGCGGUGGCGGAGCUGCAGCGCUUCCCGCGCUCACACCACUCGGUCGUGCAGCGCUUCAACCAUCACGGAAAGGUUACAAUGCCCUGAGAUCUGCAUGCAGAUGCACAUGGGUUCUUCCCUCCUACAAACGGAUGUAUCUAUCUGCCCCUAUGUGUCUCUUUUAUUGAUCCACCUGCAUGUGGUGUAUAACGCUGUGUUGUAUGCCGUACUCGAUCUUAUGCAGCCGGAGAUGCUUGAGGAGGUGUAUGAGCCAGCAGGGUUGCAUUACCUGUACGACCUUAGUCACCGGUACGAGCUUCCCAGCGACAGGGAUGCACGGCGCGCCAAUGGCAGUAGCGCCGGCGGCGGUGUCACUGAGGUCAGCUGUGCCGCCGGUGGCGUUGGGACCAGCAGCGGCCGAGACAGGAAACGCCGCGCCGACCGGGCAACUUCUGCUGCCGCUGCUUGUGGGGAUGCUGAAGAUGACGGCGAGUCGGCUUACAUUCCUGUGGUGGUGGAUGCUACACAGCUGGGUAAUGUGGCUCGCUUCGUAAACCACCUAUGUGAAGGCGCAAACCUGGUGUCGGUCAACGUGUGCAUGGGUGGGUGUGCAUGGGUGGGUGAGUGGGCCGGGGGUGGGCGGUUUAAAUGAGGGUUAGAUGUGGGGAUGAAGGGCGGGGUGUCAUAGGGCUUGGGGGAGUGCAAUGAAGGGGUAAGGGGCCUGAGGGCGGGGCCGGGGUAAGGGUAUAGCGUGUGCGGGAGUAGGGGACCCCGCGGUGGUGAGUGGAUCGGUAGGUGGGCAAUCAACCAACACAGUGUACAUGUGUAUGAGCGAUGACUGGAUGCAUAUGCGUGUGAGAGGGGUGGGAUGAAACCCGCUACCGCCGCCUUUAGCCCCCAUAUGGCGCCCGGCUCAGGUUGCACCACUGCAUGCCGCGCUGCUUUCCUUUUUGUCCGGAUCCUACUUGCCCUUCCUCCCCUCCUCCGUCCGUCCCUCCCAUUCUGCCCUUUUUCGUCCCUUCCAUGGCUCCACCUGUGGUCCCUGCCGGCCUUGCUAAUCCUUGUCCUGCCACUCAGCACCCCCGUCUGGGCCGUUCGCCCUUUCGUGCAUCGGCCGAGCGACAUCCGCUUCUCUUGCCUCGCUUUCCCUCCCUAGCCCAUCUCCUCUGCAGCAAGGUUCCUGUCGGGCGUUUUUCUUCCCCCCUUCUACGCCGGCAGCUCAUUCCUGAUUUCCCGCCCACGCCUCUCCGCCUCUUCCCCGGAACAGCUGCCCGGCAGGUGUUUGGAGUUUAGACGCCGUCAGUGGACACGCUCCUUCAUUUUGAGAUGUUGUAUGUGUCGUGUCUCCCUGCCGCGCCCCUUCGAGAUACCAUACGCAGUUCCGCCUCAGUGUAGUCCUCCUUCCUCCAUGUCUCCACGCUGCAUUUCUAGCGUGUCUAGCUGUUCCUUCACCCCUCAUCCCUUCUCCCGCCUCUCCCUUUCUCCCCCUUUACCCGCUCCCUCCCUGCUGGCUCCCUAAGGUGGCCUGGAGGACAUCCACAUGACCAUCAUGAUGCGCACUGCCCGGGAUAUCGCUGCCGGGGAGGAGCUGACGUUGGAUUACCAGGUGGGGCGAGAUGGGAAAUGUUAGCGGGGAGAGGCAGGUGUUGAUGGGUUAGGGGUUGCCUGAUUAGGUGCUGGGACUAGCGGGGUAGGGGUUGGCGCAAGUCCUGGUUAUCAGGUAGCUCAGCUUGCGUAGAACGUGUUCAUAAAGAACAGUUCUUACCGCAUGAAAAUGCUUAAGUUUUCAAGGAAGAGUUGUAAAACAGGGCGUGCUGUUCAAGUGAUCUCGUACAGAAUCACGUUUGAAUCCUAAUGCAUGAGUCAUGCCUUAUGGUUACCGUUUUUAUUCUAGUUUCCCGACUCCUUUUUUGUGGACAUCGCCAGGCGGGAUGGAGCGAGGAGGAGAAGGCGAGGUUACAGGUCCACCCAGAGGGAUUGGUGCCGUGCAGGUGGGGGUUGCGUUGAAUGGGGCGACUGGGAGCUGGAACGAUGGGUGGAUAGAUAGACAGGUGAUUUCCAGUGCCAUUGCCAUUGCACUGACCCUCGUUGAGCUAACCUGACCUGAUCUGCACUGGAACAAGAAACCAACACAGGGAGCUCUGCAGGAACCUGGUGCCCCCUGACCCACGGGCCAAGCAAUGUGCCUCCUUCGCAUCCGCCCACCUUAAACCUCCAGAUACCGACCGUGCCUCCGCCCCAUCGCGGGUACUACACCACCUUGCGUAUAUGUACCCAUGCGUUCGCUGUCGUGUCAUGCAUGGGUCCGCUUGUUCGUUCCUUUCCCCCCACCCAACCUACAACCCACCCAAAGUCACUAACCCGACCCACUUUCACGCACCGCGCCUGUCAUUUGCAUUCCUAGGUGUGGUGCCCGCAAGUGCCUGGGCUACGUGUUUCCCUUUAUUGACCGACGAAGCACCGCAACCUGCCAAACGCCACCUAAGGUCCAAGCCCGACGAAAUGCCCCGGGUACCCGUCCCUGGGCUGAGGCCCCUGACACGAUCCCAUCCAUCGCCAACACCACCACAACAGCUUCCGGUAAGGAGUUCGGGAGCGCCAGUCCGGGAGUCUUCCCUGGUGAUUCCGCUGCCGCCGCAGAAGCGGCGGAUGCUACCGCCACCGCUGCCGGUAAGUUAGCUGCUGCGGCGGCGGCAGCAGCCGUGGCUAUGGGUAGGGAGGCCUUCGUGGGUCAGGAGCAGGAGGGAAAGGACAGGACAGGAGAGGAGGAGCCCACGGAGCACAAGGAGGCGGUGGCGAUGGAGGAGGAGGAGGAGGAGCAGAAGUGCUCCGCAUCCAUGAUAGGAGCAACCGGUGGUGGCGAGGGGGGUGGCGGCAACACUAGCAGUAGCCUGUUGCCCCCCAUUGCAAUUGGGGUGCAAAGGCAGUUUGAGCACGCACCGAUGGCAGAUACGGAGGGGAGGAACCCACUUUCUCCCUCCUCCCUUAGCCCGUCAUCCCACUACGGCAGUACAGCAUCAGUAUCAGUCACGACAUCCUCGGGUGCCGUACAGCGCCGUGAAAUGGCGUCCACCGGUAGUCUAGGGUCUCGCCCAUUCUCGUUGAAGCGAAUUCGGCUGGUUGCUGCUUCACCACGCGCUACGGUGGCAAACCUGGAUCCUCAACCGAAGUUCGGUUGAAAGUAAGCAUGCACCAAACCAAAGCAGGCGCUGCAAGGCGCGAUGGCUGCCGCCGCUGCCACUGCAGUGGCGGCGGCAAGUGGUGCAGAGGUAACCGUGACGGCAUGACGGUGACAGCCGCGACUGCGCGGAGUGAACCGUGUCUCUUUGCAGCGGCGGCGGCCUGUGGUGGUGUGCCUGGUCCUACUGCCGCCAUUUUACGUCUGCCGUUGCAAUCGUAGGGAAGACGGCGCGGGUCAAGUUGCGGGUUUCGGCCUUUUGGGGCGACCUGUGCGAGCUAUGCUGGGGGCGGUCCGCCCUUCACAGUCCGUUCAUCCACGCGGUUGCGGCAACAGCUGCUACUGGCACAAAGACAGCAGCAGUGGGUGCAGAGGGACCACCGACUCCUCCAGCAGAGGCGGGGGCGCAGGGAAAAGAAGCGCGGUUAAAGUCUGGCCCGUGUCUUUCCCACAUAUCAUGUGCAUUGGGGGCUGGGUUCUCCAGGAGGAGGACGAAUGGGAAGGAACCUCCAGACAUGGACAGGAACCUUGGAUAGGGUUAGGGGAAGACGGCUGAACCACCCGGGAUGUAAACUCCCUGGGCAAUGGGCGGGGGCCAAAGGGCGGGGAGGAAAGGGUUUGUGAGGAAGGCAAAAACGGAGCGGAGGAAUGUAAGGCAGUUGGUAUGGAGAGCUCGGGCUUUGAAGCGAGGAACGCGUGGCGUAGGUGAGGUGGAUGUAGGGUUUGGAGUUCGCUGGUGAUCUUCUGGCCAAGGAGAGAGGGGAGAAGGAGUUUUGUACGGCAUUGUACAGCAUGUAAUAUGUCCAUGUCGUUAUGUACGUGGCAGAGCGCAAAAAUGUCGUCAGCUGCUCCCACAUCUGACCGAUGAGGUUUUUUCUUGGGCCUCCUAUCGUAACCUCGGAAUCACACGCAGUUUUUUUUCUUUGUAUCGUUUUGGAAUCUUAACACACGGAUUCAUUCCAGACCUGCGUUUGUUUUACUUAUGCACGUCUGUUCCUCACAACCAUGCUAAUUUCCCGAGGCCUUGAGCAUCUGUAACGUACAGGCUUAGCACCUGUUACGCACCGGCUGAGUGACUGGCAAGAGGCAUGAAUCGGAGGGAGCAGGCCGGCGGCGUUGGGGCUUUUACAAGGUUGUGGUGGUUGGGCACGUUGGCGUUAAGUGGUCCGGGUUUAAUCCUGGGGAAGAAAGAGAACAUACGAUCUCCCAGGCCCAAACAUUUCACCUUCAGAGUGUGGGCCUGUUGUAUUGUACACAUCUUCCCAAAUUGCAUCGGGCGUUCACUGGCAUUUAGUAUGAGCCUCAAAUCUGCAGUGACAGCUUCCCUGUAGCGUUCCGUGUGUUGCAGGAGCUGCAGGCAGUUAAAUAUUAUCUUACAGUGCAUAGGACCGGAUCGCCGGUCUUGGUAAGCUCCGUAGCAUGGCAUAGCGCUUCAAGUUAGACACACAGACACCCAAAUAAUCCCGCCCACCUGCACGCCAGCGGCAGCCAGCUGGUUUUUUUGCUCUUGCCACAAACGUCAGAACAACACACCAGAAACGACUGUGCUCACUGUGCCCUGGUUCCUGGCUGGCUCUUGCUGAGGUCUGAUGGCGUAGGAAUAAAAUAUUGCUCUCUCCUCGUACUUCUCAUCAAGAGACGCGCAAACAGAAAAAUAUCAUGCAUCGUUGGCAGGAUGAAGCAAAGAAUGAACCUAAUGAACCCUAACCCGUAUACCCUAAACACAUCUGCGCUCAUUCCUCCUCCACGAAUCCGCUUUUUGUAUCUGUUUGGUAGAAAACAUUGUACGCCAUCACUAUACAUGCACACAGGUAAUGAAAGGACUGAGGCCUACAUGGAGUAACGCAGGAGUGCCUACCGGCGCGCAGUCUUUACCUAACGCCAACAAGACGACAUAUGCACAGGGGGCUGCUGCUCCCAACACGCAAGAGGGACCCCUGUGAUAGCCGUUGAUGCCGUGGAACCCAGGUAUGGGGAAACCUCCGGGGUCCCGCAGUUAGAAUGCAUGGGGCAUCCAUUGAAGGAGCAACAGUUUCCCCUCCUCGGUCAUUGGACCAUAGCGUUAUUAACAGCACAGCAUCCGCUACUAUCUUCCGGAGUUCCGAUGCAAAUUUACUAAGGCCGCGUCAUUUGCCGCCUUCGGUUGCGGGCGUUGUGGCAGCCAAUACCUUGCCGCGGUGGUAGCCAGGAUGCUCCUUCUGCCAGUUCGCCAGAUGCUGAAUCACCUGCUUUGAAAUCUGCUGCGCAUCGCUAUUCUUGCCAAAGAAAGUCACGAACUCGCCCUCAGGGUCAAUAAGAUAGUGGAUGAUGGAGUGGUCGACCAGGUAGUCGGCGUCGCUCUCACCCGUCUUGCUGUAAUAGACACGGUAAGACUUGCUGACCUUCUUGAUGUUAUCCAGGUCGCCGGUGAGGCCAAUCAUCCGCGGAUGGAACUCGCUGACAUAGGACUUCACGAGCGGGGGUUUGUCGCGCUCGGGGUCGACUGAAAUGAACACCAGCUGGAUUUGAACACCAGUAGAUUUCUCUAUGAGGUUUACGGCCUCCGACACCUUCUCCAACUCAUCGGGACAAAUGUCGGGGCAGUGCGUAAACCCGAAGUAUAGCAAUGCGAACUCCCCCAACAGGUCCUUGUCCGUGUAUCGCUUCCCGUCCUGAUCUAUUAAGUCGAAGGGGCCGCCAACGGCAGCUUUGCCAACAACCUGUUGGCUCUGCGCGACAACCUGCUGCAGUUUCUGGUCUGUAUACAGCCGCGUCGCGUACGUGAUUCCCGCACCAGCCAUAAGCAUCAAAAUCAACGUCCGCAUUGAGACUGGGGCCACAUCGCGGGCACCAGGGCUAGUCCCAGCCUGAGGUUCUGCAGCUAGCCAACGCGACGCGUGCAAAUGCCGGAGCGCCAACCGCUGUUGCGACAAGACUGGACAGAAGUAACCCGAGUUUGCUGAUAUUGCCGAAGUACUGCUGAUGCUCAAGCAACUACCGCACGAGAAUUCCUGACCCAGCCAGCGCCGAGCUGGCCCGCAAAGCCGUAAGAAACGUAGCGAUCGCAUUUCUCUUAUUAUCUUUGUGCCAAAAGUAAUACCACGCAGAGAGCAUUUAUAGUAGCAUAACGUACUAUAAUGGCUCUCGUUAUCACCUCUACCGUGAGCGAUCGGCUAAUCCGUACAUGAUUUUCCUUUGCUGGUUCAGGCAAUGAAGUGAAAGAAAUGUUAUGCUACUAAGUAUUAGGAGAUAUGCUGAGCUUAAAAUGGGAACGCCGAUAAGACAGGACCCUGCUCGUUUUUUCGUGUUGCAUAUUGCCGUAGAUGCCUUCUUAUGCCAGGUGCGCUUUGCAGAAGUCAUAUACCCUCCUACCCUCUAAUCUACCUUCUACUAGUACCUUUUCAGGAUAAUUGGCCGGUGACCAACUUGCAACUUCCAGACGGUUAGAAUUAUGUAUGACAGUACCGCACUGUCUCAGGCCUGCCUUCCAAAGUGCCCACGCUUAAUGAACUUGCCGCUUGUUGAAAGAAACACAUAUAUUCACGCGAAUCGCAUCCAGGUGGAGGCUCUCGCCAAUGGCGCACUGCGCGGCGUUCCCCUGGCGGUUCAACAGCACGGAGACAUUAUCUCGGUCAACCACGACGCCCGGCAAGCCGGUGUGCGGAGGCAAAUGGCGCCAGAUGAGGCAAGAGCAAGCGGGUGCAUGGGUUAGUUGGAUCACGGGUGCUGCAAACGGGAAGAAAGGAGAGGAGUGCGAUGCUGACUGGUUGCUAUGCGGCGGAUGCUGUCAUGUCCAAUUAGGUGAUGCCUUGGUCUCCAGUUUGAGAGCAUGCUCUAAUCCUAGUAGGAAUGUACGGUACGUACGACAUAAGUGGGCAAAACGUUGUAUGGCGCAACUGCAAAAAGACAUUUACAAAAAUCCGCUCGCGUGCCGUUGUCGACACUUUGGCCCUGCAGGCGCGACGCCUCUUGACGGCCGUCGGCGGCCAUGUCGUAGAUGUUUACUGCGAGGAUGGCACGUAUCCGUCCUACAGGCCGUACCGGGAAGCCUCCGCCACGCUCAUGAGGUGAGUGCAUGUCCUUAUCACGUUAUCUCCGUGCGCAUGCCUUCGUUGUGUAGCAGUGUGCAUGUCAAUGUGCCAGUGUCUAUGUCUUUUGGGGAGGCCUUCAGAAACACACCCGUAGUGGGUAUUACACGUCUUACACGUCUACACGAUGCUUCGCAUUACAUGAAAACACAGAUGUGUUUGCUUCCGUUUGGGACAUCGUGCCAGAACGGACCUUGUACGCCGUGCAGUACGUCACCGUCUGGACGAGUCAGAACGAUCGGACUGAGUAUCGCAAGCGGGUCGGUUGGAGCACACACGCCCGCACACACACAUACAUGCACUCUGCACGUCUCACGUCUCUCACAGGCUCCUCCGCAGUCUGCUGUCCCCGUGCUGCUUCUUGGAGCGAUGUGCGCUGGAUGAAGCUUUUAUCUUGAUGCGCGCGGGGCCAACACCGGCCUCACGGGACGUAGCUGCGGACGUGGAGGAGGCCCAUGCAGAGAAGGGCGUGGGCGUUGACAAGGAGACAGAUGCGGCUACCAUUGCGGGUGGUGGUCCUACCCGCGACGACCCAUGGGUCAGUGCUGCAGUUCAGCUGGGGGAGCGGAUUCGGCGGGAGACCUGGUCGCAGCUAGGGUUACAUGUGGCGGUGAGCGGAGGAGGUAUUUUUGCGAAGCGGUGAAGGGAGGUAUUUUUGGAGGGGAUGCGCUGGGAAGGCACGUCACCUGGGACAGCAUGUCUCCAUGUACGUGUGUAUGAUUGUAUGUGUGUAUGCCGUUAUGGUCGUAUGUGUACAAUCUGGUUGACUUAGAUGAGCCUUGUAUAUGUGUGGCUUUGACCACUCGCGUGAACUUGGGUUUAGGUAAUUGAGGAGGAGCGAUCCGAUGGAAGCACCGCCACCUUCGAAAGACACCAGUUCUGGUAUGCACGUAGCGGUCGGUGCCCUGAUCCGGUGUCUAUGCAGCUCGCCAGCUAGCUUCCUAGCCAGCUAGCUGGCUGACCGACCCAAAUGCUGCUUCAACGACGACAUCCCCUAAGGCUCCGCUACUCCAGUUUCAGUCCCUCCCGCCCACAUGUGCAGUUGUGUCCACAAUCCACAGAGCGGGCCCCGCCUUACACUCGCCUCUCCCCCUACUUCCCCUUCUCAAAGGUGGGCAUCUCCCGCAGCAAGCGACUGGCCAGGAGGGCGUCCCGGCUGGCUAAACCCGCCGGACUGCGGACACUGGGCCUGGGGGGAGGGGAGGAGGACGAAUACGAGGAGGAAGAAGGGGGAACAGCUUUUCAGAAGCGGCAGGACCAGGACCAGGACUGUCAGCAGAAACCGCUGCAUGAGAGGGAGGGGAAGAGAGGGAAGGGGAGGGGCCCGCCCCGGGCGCUCCAGGUGCGAUGUAUGUGUGUAUGUGUGUAGGGGGGGAAUGGAGAGAGAUGGAGGGAGAGGGAGAGAGAGAGACAGAGAGAGGCAGAGAGAGAGAGAGACAGAGAGAGAGACAGAGAGAGAGAGAGAGAGAGAGAGAGAGACAGAGAGAGACAGAGAGAGACAGAGAGAGACAGAGAGAGACAGAGAGAGAGAGAGAGAGAGAGAGAGAGAGAGACAGAGAGACAGAGAGAGAGACAGAGAGAGACAGAGAGAGAGAGAGAGACAGAGAGAGACAGAGAGAGAGAGAGAGAGAGAGAGAGAGAGAGAGAUGGAGGGAGAGAGAGACGCGAAGCAGGGGCGCGUAGGUUAGCCAGGUAAAGCAGCGACUCCCCUUUGGGUACCAUACAAAACUCAAAACCGCGUGUCCUAACUUCCCUUCCUCGGGGCUCUGUCAUAUACCCCUCGUACCCCCAGAUCCACCCUGCAACACCCACUCACCCACCCACCCACGCACCUAGCUCAGGCCCGCACCUCCCCAACCCCUCCUCCCUUUACCCUCUCCAUGUUUUCCCUCCUUCCCCGGGCUUGUCUCCCCCUCACCUCACCUUCAACCCGUGGCGCCCUUCUUCCCCCCCUUCUCCCCCCGCUUCACUCACACACACACACAGGUCCAUGUGACCCUGACGCCAGUGGGGCCUCAGAUCCCCCCCGCCCCCUCACCUAACUCCGCGCCGUGCCCCACCGCCGUACCUCAUCACUCGGCUGUCCAGCGGGGGGGGCCCCACCCCCCGUCCGGAAAUCGCCCGGGUCAGUCAGGAGCUACGUAUGUACAGCCCGUACCGCUGCUUCCCGGCACAUCUGAGGGGUGGAGGCGGCUGUGUGCAUUGGUUCGACCCAUGGGGAUCGACCUGGUGGGGCGAGUGCUGCUGGACAUGUGGGUGAUGAAAGAGGGAUUGGGAGUGGGGGGUUUGUUGGGAGGAUGAAGUUGCGGGAAGCGGAGGGCCUGUAUCGGGAGGGAGGGCGGCAAGAGACGCACCAAACCCAUGCCAUUAGGGCUACCUGAGUACAAAAUGUGGUCAAAAAUUAGGCCCGUUUGACCGGGAAGUGAGAGAUCUACUACUCGGUUUUCCUCCUCCUCCUCCCCCUCCCCCUCCCCCUCCAGGUCCAGGGGGCUCCUUAAUCCCUCUCAGCCCCUCCGGAUCCUCCUCCUCAUCUCCCGCCUUUUCCCCAUCGCAUCUUUUCCCCGCACGCAUCCAUGUCUCUGUAGGUACCAGCAGCAGCGCUGGCCGGGUAAGCUCACCGCGCAGCUGGUGACCCAUGGGUCGGGGUUCGGCGGCUGGACCGCCUCCAAGACAUGCACCUUUCCAUCCCCCGCCCUGCUCACACCCGUCACCUUCUCUGCGGUCGAUGGGGCCGCUGGAGGUAGUAGCAGUCCCGGCAGCAGUGAAGGCGGCGACGGCAGCGGUUGCGGUGUUGCGACAGAUGCUGCCAAUUCGGCCGCCACUGCUGUUUCUGACUGGGCCCGGAGCCUGAGGUACGAGUAUAGCAGUUUAUCGUAUCCAGAUUAGGGUUUAGGGGCAACAAAACCCUUGAGACCAGAUCCAUAUGGGGGGGACAAUGUCGGUCGUCUACCCGUGUUACUGCUUUCCUGAGAAUAGCUGCCGCCGGUCUAUCCAUUCACUAGGAGUACACGUCUAGCGCCGAUGAGGCGGAACUACUCAAAGGAUGCCAGCACCGGUCCAGGGGGGAACUGAGAGAAUGGGGCACACGAACGAGGGCUCCACGCCUUGCUUGGGAAAUGUUUUCCUUCUACCCGUCCUCCCCCUCACCUUCAUCCGCAUCCUCCUCUUCGUCCGUCCCUCCAUCGAUCAGCCCGUUAAUGGAGGCUGUGGCCGCGGCAGCAUUGGAAUUGUGCCGGGAAGCCUUGGGAACAGCACCGCAGCAGCAGCAGCAGCCGCAGCAGGCGGCGGCGGGCGAGGACACGGGCCCCGGGAUGACCGCAGCGGCACCGGCGGCUGCGGGUUCCGGAGCUGGUGUCUCCCUGCCGCUAGUGAAGGUCGGUACGGGGUUUCGGGUUGGAAGGAGUGGGUGCUGCUUGGGAGGGUGUUGAGAUUCCCUGAUGCUGGUGCAUUACGCGGUUAGUGCGGAUGGUAGAAAAGCAUAUGCAAGAUGCGAGAGGAAGCAAGGGAGGCAAGUGCGGAUACGUCCGGAGUACCAAACAAACAGGUUGCGACGUGACGGGUGGACGAGGGAGGGAGCACUAGUAGUAAAUGGAGGCCUAGGGGCAGUGGACCCUCCGGAGCCUUCUCCCUGCUGACAUCUCGUCCCCCACCCUCAAGGCCACGCUGACGGCGCACUCUUUUGUGCCGUACGGGACGUCAGCCGCUGCGGCGUCGGCCACCGUCGCCGGGCAUAUGUUGCAACUUCUCCGAGUGGAGGGUGGGAUCAACCAGCGCCCGCCGCCGCAGUCUGGUGAUGGAGGUGGAAUGCCGGCGACGGUGGCGGUGCCGCUGGCGGGAGCUGAACCGGAGGCGGUGGGGGUGGCAGCGGCGGCUGUAGGGCCGGUGGAGGGCAGUCCUAAGGGCUCCAGCCGUUAUUUUGGAGCUGGUGCUGCAGGACCGCAGACGCCAGUACGGCCUGGAGUGCAGAAUUGUACACUGGCGGGAAACGCCGACAGAGCGCCUUUGCCCUUGCCAAUGACGUCCUCGUUGUUGAGCGGCGAAGCGGCAGCAGCGGCAGCGCAGCCACUAAUGGCUAGCUCUCAAAUAGACGGGGACUUGGCGGGGGGCCCCUCCAAGCGCCGCAGGGUCAAUGCCAGCGCGGGGCUCGUCCGUGAAGGCCAUCGCUCGUGGGACCGCGCAGGCCACACGACUGGGGCUGAGGGUGUUGACGGGGCUGCGGUGGCGGCAGCGGCCGCAGGGGCCACGGGCAACAAGACGGUGCCGGGGAUGGAGCUGGGGCUGGGGCUGGACCGAGGGGGGGAGGGGCGCGGAGACACAGAGAAUGCUGCUGCGGCUACUGUAGCGGUGGCUGCGGCCGCUGUCGACCGAGGCGGCGGCAUGGCUAAGGAAGGAGCUGCGUUCAGAAAAUUACCACCACUGCCGCCGCCGUCCGUGGCCACCGCUGCUGCAGCUGCUACUGUCACUGCUGCGGCGGCAACCACCUCCGGUCCAGGCCCACCGCCGCCACCGCAGCGGCCGCAACUUCAGCCGCAGCGUCAACCACAGCUCCAAGCUUCGGGACGGCAGGGUCUGAGGCCGCGGCCACGUCAGCUGCCGCCUCAAGUGGAUGUGUUGGGGCUGCUGGGGAGCUUGUGGGGCCAGGAGCUGCGGCGGCAAGAAGGAGGUGCUGGUGGCCUUGUGGACCCUGCUGACAACAGCGAGGAGAGAGGUGGCGGUGGACCGCGGGAUGCGCUGGCUCCUGGAACGUUAGAGGCGGUGUCGAAGGCGGCGACAGAGCGAAUGGACGCUUGGCUGGCGGUGUUUGGGGCGGGGCCGUUGGAAGAGUGGUGGUCAGGUUUGGGGAAUGGGGGUAUGCCGAGCAGCAUGCGGAAGGGUUAGUUUUGUGGGUUGCGGAAGAGGCGAUGAUGGUGGGUUGUCGGGAUAAGACGGCUGGAAGGCCCUGGUGGUGAAGGGUUUACGCAUGCUCAUCUGCGCGACUGAAUGCUUCACUGAUCGGGUCUAUCCUAAAAUGUUUAUCAUUUAUUUUUUUAUCGUGUACUUAAGCUUAUAGUUUAAAGUUUUGCAUCCAACGGUCACAGUUCGUUAGGGGUUGACUCGACACUGAAAGGCUCCGUCUGUCCGUCGUAAACCAAGCAUUGUUAGAGUGCUUCCCCCAACCCAGAUUGGAUAGUUGCGUUGUUCCUUGCAUAUGAUCCAUAUGAGAUGUUGAUGCGUCGUGUGCUGCGCCGGGCGAUGUGAUGCGCCGUAACUUUUCAAUCCCUUCUACAACAAAACGGAGAAAGGAUUGAUGUUGAAAUAACAGAUUGUGGCCUCAACUUGCUGAAUUGGAUACCAGCUGGGCGUGUUCAGGUGGAUGUGUGGCCACAGCUACGAGUUGGGACCGUAGAGCUGCGCCAUGUAAAGAGGCUUUCUUUUUUAUUCUGUGCCUAUUUUGUACUUUUCAUUCAGCUAGUUCUCUGUCCUGUCCUUGCUAGUAGCGGCGGUUGGCAAGGUCAGAGCAUGCCGCGCGGCGUUAAGAAGGAAAACCUGCCGAGCAAGAUUUGUGCAACCUGCCAGCGGCCAUUCACGUGGCGCAAAGUGUAAGACCUUACUCAUAAAGAGUAGGUCUUGGACAACCAUGAAAGCCCUGGGAUAAUGACUGCAGGUGGGAAAAUUGCUGGGACGAGGUGAAGUGCUGCAGCGAUAGGUGCAAAAACGAGCGCAAGCGCAAGCUGCAGCUAGCAAAUCGAGAGCAGCGCAGCCCUGAUGCCACCACCAUCACCCACGUUGACCGUGUCCCCACAUCGGACCCCGAGGUCAACAGCAGCCCCGUAUCUAUAGCCGCCAGCUCCAGGCCUGCGAGUCCCCGGGGACCUCAGCCUGUCUCGUCUUAAACAGCAUCGGAAUCCAUGGUGGACAAACCUGCGGCCCACAGCCCCUUACUGGAGCUCCCGGACAGAGAUUUGCUGUCUAUAGUGCAGCGAUUGGACGGUACGUGGCCAUGCAACCAUUUCACAGUUACAGGCCACAUGGGUUUCGGGCUCCAAAAUGGUGGAGGUGGAGUGGGGCGGAAGGGGGUGAGGGUGGGGCAAGAAUUUUGAGGACCCGUUGAUCGUCUCUCUGGUGUGCAUCUUGUGCACGAAACGGAGUACACAGCUAAAUCUCGCUGCUCUCCAUGGAUGAGUUAACCCAGCCAAAAUCUGUGUGGCACCUAGCAUAACCAUGACGCAUGCAUUCCUACCUGAUGACGCAUGCCUACGACGCACCCCCAACAUCGUACCUGCCAUGCAUCUCCUUGGGGCCUUCGGGGGCCCCUUUCUUCCACCCGGCCCUGGCAACCCGAUCAUACGCGCAAAUGCCUAAGCAGUGUAUCUGGUAUCACCCGCGUUCGAAAAAAAUUUUGCGUACCGUGUUUGCGUUAUCCCUUCAGCUUUGCCCUUGCUUGAGGUCUCCACCCUUGCCAUUCAUCCUCGUGUCAUGUCAUGCACCCGGGCGCCCUUCUUCCCGGGGCCCGGCCCCCGCUGUUGGAUUGUAGCCUUGUCGGUGCUGCGGCUGUCACUGAGCAGCAAUGCAGCCACUCGGCGCCUCGACGGCGUCGUCAACCUGUGGAGGGACCUGUUGACGCGUUUCUGGGAGCUACCACCGACAUCACCGACAUCAUCACCGCAGCCGCAGCUGCAGCUGCAACAGUGCCGAUAUGCAGCAGCUGAUGAAGCCGCUCCUUCCUCCCGCGUUGAUCCCUCGGCUUGCGCCCUUGCCACCGCCGCCGCCUUCGCGCCUUCCCAGCUCUCCAGGGCGUCUGACGGCACUGACGGUAGCGAUGGCGGCGUCGGCGGCGUUGGCCGUGUGGACCCGCGGGGCCCUUUCCGCGAGGCGUUGCGGUGCCACGGCCGACUUUCUUUCUGGCACCACCAGCACUGCCUCAGACUGGCCCGCUUGUCGCCAAGCCACACCAUCACAUUGGCUCCGCCGCAGCUGCAGCCAGCAUCGCCACAGCAAGGUGACUCCCAGGCUGCGCGGCGGCUAACGACUCAAUUGCCGCCGCCGCGCGGUGCCGUCUGCCUGAUGGCAUCGGGGCCGCCGCGGACUGUGGCGGCAGCGGCGGCAGCGACAGGGGAAGCGACGGCUGCUCAUGUCCGUAUAAAUCCAUUCAGCUUGACGGAUGAGGAAUUCUACGGCCUCCGCGUCUGUGACGGUUCCGGUGUGUGCUUUAUAUAUUGUGUCCAAUGUGUGGCCUAAGGGUGUGCGUAUGUGGUGGAAUUUCGCGGGCGAUUUCGUGUGACCGGUGCACUGCGUAGGUGUAUUUCGUAGUGCGCUAGUUCGUCUACAUGUCUUUGCCCGUAAUGAUAAGUAUCUACGGCGUCGUACAGCACAUUCUCGGCAAUGCAGUGCAUCACACUGCGUCCUCCCUACCUUUCUUCUCCUGGGAUGGGCCCCGCUUGGGCUGCUGUCCGCCAUCAUUGGAUCGGGCGUAGCAACGAAUCUACAGAAUGGCGAUGAAUAGGCUGGAAGAGCGGCCACCAUCGCCCCGCCCCACUGCUACCCUUCUUGUACCCAACUGUCACGUCACAGACAUUCACAUCGGCGGUGUAACAGUCCGCUGCUCCUCAUCCUCAUCGUGGCCGUCGUCGCCAUCGUCGUCGUCAUCACCGGCAGCACCAGCGGCAAGGGCCGCAGCCGCGACCCCGCCGAGUGGCGCCCCCUCCAUUCCCUGUCGGCCGUCUCACGUGGUCACGGUGGUGGCCCACAGCGGCAGUCGAGAGCCCAUUGCCUGGCUGUCCUUUCCCGCACCUCCCCGGCGCCCUCAUUGGACACAGCAAUACAACCGCCGUCACCACCACCAUCGUUAUCAGCAGUGCAUGUUUCACGCCGAUGCACAGCCGCCCGGGUGCCCUCAGCCACAAAGCCAAAUCCAGCCUCAGGAUAUUCAGCCCCAAGCUCUGCACAUACCGGAGGUGUGGUGCCGACCUGAGGCAGUCCGCGCCUUACUGGAUCCCGGAUCCAUGGCGCCGCCCGCGAGGAGGCAGCAGCAGCAGCGGUCACGAGGUGCCGCUGUAGCAGCACCAGCAGCGGAAGCCGCGGAAGGAGCGACGGACUGGACGGCUCUGGCGGCGGUUCUGUCUGCACGGGUCCGUGCACUUGCGGCGGCGGGACAAGAGCGGCUGCGCUGCGUGACGGCGUUCAGCGUGGGCAGCCGGCGGAAGCUGGCAGCUGCUGGAGUGCCGUACGACCUGGCGUCGCUGCAGGCUGUGGGGAUUCAGGUUGUGGAUCUGGCGGGACUGCUGCCGCCGCAGUCACCCGCACGAAUCCCCGGAGCUCUGGGUCAUGGCGGUGCCGACGGGGACGGGGACGGAGGAGAAGGAGAAGGAACGGGUGGAGGUGUUGGUGGCGACACAGGAGGUGAUUGGAUCUCCGGUCGUUGGCUGGGCAGCCCGCUGUAAUUCCCAAUACUGUGUGAUCCGUACUUCGCUCCGAUCCGCAGUGUGGAGGCGCCCGGAGGGGGGUGGAGGGGGGUGUUCGGUUUCCGGCGUUCCAGCGGGCCGGGGCUGUGGUGCAGCGUAGAGGAUGAAGUCAUGUUCCGUUCAUGUCUCUUGGUGUGCGCAGCGGGUCCCGUUUCGCUAUCUGAUGUUGCUGGUUUCCGCGGGCGUAAGGCGUGACUGGCAGCCUUUUCCUUAUGUACACUCGUUGCUUCACCUUCCUUCAUCGCGUUCUUUAUUGCGUCCCGUAGAAGGCGAACAUGGUUCCAUGCUCGCAGCCGUUAUGUUGCGCCAUCUUGCGCAUCGAGGUAACCAGUUUGAUGCGUUGGCUGGGAGGAUGCCACGUAAGGGGAUGCUGCUGUGUGGCGGCCUCCAUCAUGCUGCGCUGUGCCAUAAAAAGAGCUAUGCGACAUGAAUGCCUCUUCUAUCUUUUUUCACCUUCUGUGCAUACAUACCCCGUGGCUCCAAACCUUCAGGGCACCUGCAAUUUCCCGCCGGCGUGGAGCUGGGCGCGACAUGUCCUCAGACUGCUGAGCAGUCUGGCGGCACCGCCUCUGCGUCGGCUCAUUCCGCGCGGCGCGACACUGGCGCUUCAACGGUUCGGGCAACGCACCCAGGGGGGCCUGCGCCGGAGGGUGUGUCAGCGGCGUCGAAUGGGGUGGCGGUGCAGGUGCUAGUACGAGAGCUGCAGCGGGCGGUGGUUGGGGAGCAGAUGGAUGGCGAUCACAAUGGCAGCAGCAGCGGCGGUGGUGCUAGUGAUGCACAUAUGUCGGUGCGGCUGCGGGAGGUCAUAUCGCGGCUGCCAGCCGUCGCUCCUCGAAUGCAGGUCCUGCUGCUGCCGGUCGUGGGGCUGCGAGGACGCAGGUCAGUGUGUGUGUGUGUGUGUGUGGUUUUACGGCUGCUGGCAGUUCAUGGCUGGUACCCAUCAGGAAAUGUACACCAUCCUCGAUUUCAAGAUAAUGCUGCUCUACCCGCACGGCUUAUGCUUUCCCUCUGGUUCGCUGUUCGCCGCUGCACAACGAGGAAACCCUUUCCUUCUGCGUCUUCCACAAGAACACCGCGACUUCACUCCGUCCGCCGUACUGUAUACCAUGAAGUACUUUAGAGAUCCGCCUCUGCCUGAAGACAUACCUCCUCACUUUCGCGUGUGGCAAUGCCAAUCUCCAACCUCCCGCUGCCCACUUGCCUAGCCUGGCAUGUAUCCCUCCUGUGUUAUCCUCGGAUGAAUGCACUUCUUCGCAGGGCUGUCCGCAUGAUGCCUACCAGGAGAAGCAGCAGCAGUAGUGGCGCAAGGUGCACGGCGCCACGUCUGCUGCAACUCAUGGUGCCCGUGCUCAGUGAGGUACGGGGUUUGUGAAAGGGGUUACAGGGAGCUCAGAUGCAGCGAAAGUGUGCAAUGCCAAACAACCCUACAUGCCCCGAGAAUCUGUCUAUGCUGGCACGGGACCUGAAAGAUUUUGCAGCUUCAUUAAGUCUGGAUUGUCCGUUGGAAAGAUGUAGUAGGCAGUGGGUGGUGGGCAGUAAACUUCUGUGAUAUCAAAGCCAGGCGCACAAGCGCUGGGCGAAGAGGAGGACGGUGGUCUGAGGCUUAAGCAACGAAUGGCCCAUCCGACUGAAUGGUUUCAGGGGCCGGGAUGGGAAGGGAAAGCCCGCUGCGCCUCGUUCACCUGCCCAUCCUCCGCCUCCUCCUUCACUACUCCCCGCUGGCCGUUCUAGGCAUGUCAUAAAUACCUGUCAAGAUCCGCCAUCAUCGUAUCGAUGUCCAUGUGUAGAGGAAGCACCUCCAGUAUUGCACCGCCCGUUCUCUUUUUCCCGCAGCUGCGCCUGGCCAUGACGGCUAGGAUUGGGUGCGCCGCGGUGCGACCACCUUCGCUUCCGCUACUGGCGCGGGUGUUCUUGGUUCUGGAUGACGAAGCGGAGGUUUAUGAGACUGCGUUACGAAAUCUGGCUAUAUCGACGAUGGAUCGGGCCACCGGGCUGGAUGAUUUGAGUGGAUGGGCGACUGUGGCUACUUAAGCGUGUGUGACGCUUUCCUUCUAAAGCGCAGUUUAAAGUUCAUAAGGCGGCAGACCGGAUUCCAUGUCACAGGUCCAUAUUGAAAUCUCACAGGGGCUCACCAUAAGGUCGGAAGUAGGAGGACACGAGGUGUAUGGUCCAGGUCUCAAAGGGUAAAGAGAGAUAUACGGCAACUAACAAUGUUUUACCUGUUCUUGGCCAACGCGCGGAUCCGGUAUUUGAUUAACUUUGACAGAGGUGAUGCUCCAGUCGGACGAGAGCUAUCCAGUAUGCCAAUAUUUGACCGAACGUAACGAAAUCGCACCAGCCGUUUCGAAGUUUUCCUCUUAAAUAUCACUGGGUAAGGUAGAAGAUUUGGCGAGAUAAUUACAAAGAGAAAGCUUGAACCAAGCGGAGAGCAAUAACUCUCCGCGCCUGCAACGAAACUUGCACGCACCAACACAGUUGCAGACCACCAAAAGCGACAGUCAUCCGCCUGUUCCCCAAAACACAAAUCUUAAAUCAAUAUACUCAUCAGUACACACAGCUGUAAGAACAAAAAAACAAAAUCAAAUACGUUCCUCCUGCUAGCAACCACCAUUUUCUGCGCUGAACAUCAGUGCAAACCUGACAUGCAUACCAAUAUGAGGAGCAGCUUGAGCAUCACGUGCCUUGGCUACCUGCAAAGCCUCGAGUACUUCGGAAAGUUGUGAGUCAACCCUUGUCGCACCCGAUCCACACUUGCCUGGCCUUCCAUACCAAGAAGAAGCUGAGCAUGCUACCAUGGAACCCUACGGCCCCUGGGUCAGGACCUUCUCACCUUAGAACAUACCUCCAGCACCGCGCAUGUUGACUGCCUGUGGAGCAGCGCAGAACGGUUACUGGUGCCUUCCGGACUAGACAUACAACCCGUAUCCUACAUGGUUAACCAACACAACCGCACCGCUUUCAAUACCUUAGUUUACCUUGGUAAAGCGCAUUAGCGCAUUAGGAUGACCAAAAUGGUUUUGUAACUCAUUACCUAUGCAGGGCCAACGGGUUUGGCAGAAUGUGUACCUGGCAAAGAACAAUUCCAAGGAACAAAUUGCCGAUUCCCUUGCAUACACAAAAACGCAGCAAUCCAGCAGCGACACUCAGCACAUGGUCACCGCCAACGUUUCAGUGGUGCCAGGCUGAGCAUUUCUAGGCUUACACAGGCCAGGAGAAGCUGGACGCCAAGAGCCCACAAGCCUGCAAAUCAGUGGCUUGUCAUUGUUGGACGAUUGAAGAGCUAGUCAGCAGAAAGCAUCCCACACUUGGCCCCGGUCACUUGGCUUGCAGCUUGAAGUGGCUGUUGUACAAUGGCAUGAACUGGUACUCCGCCAGAAUUUGCCGGCCACUGUACCAGCGACCGUGCAGGGCUCGAUGCGCUGCCUCUGCUGAUUGGGUUGUCGCAAAGCGCAGGUAGACAAAGCCCUGUUGUUAGGGGCAGCAAAUCAAUUCGAAAUUAUAGAAGGCAAGGCAGUCAAAAAGAUGGCAGAGGCAUUAUGCCGGGUUUAGUUGGUUGAGCCACCCAGCCACUGAAGAGCCUCUUGGAUGUUUCAAUCGAUUGCAACAUGUGUAGUAUGUUGCAUUCCUCCACACACAGACGCCAUGACAACAGUUAAGCCAUGUAACAACAUCUAUGCAAUGAAGCAAAAGCAAAACUUGCGACACACUACUUUCUGCUUUUGCGGCAAUGCUGCCAACUGGGUCGCGACAUACCUUACUCUUAGCAUCUACCCACACAUGCAGGAGCUCGCCAAACCUCGAACAUUCCUCGCGAACAUCAACUUCGACCUCGGCAGCAAGGACGGACGCUGCUGCAUUCUGUGCUGCUGCGUCACCGGCUGAUGCGGCUGCAUCAAACAUGUUUUUCAAAAGCAAGCAUGGCGUGGCUAUUGGCGAGCUCGGACCAAGCACACCCUGCUGCAUGAGAAGCACGGGAUCAACAGACAGUACUGCAUGGGCCACAGCGUUGGUCACGCCUGCAGGAAGUACACUAGUUGGGGGUGCAGGGAGCCCGGCCGAGCCCGCCAAUUUCGUCAUUAACGCGACACGCCCUUGUGCGCUCAUCUUGAUGCCGCCGCCCUCAUUAUCUUCGUCAAGCUCUCCAGUGGUGACCACAGCGGCCUGUGUUGCGGUGGCAGCGGCCAUGCCUGGGGUUGGAGCAAUUGCUGUCGCUGUCGGCGCUGCUACCAAACCGGGAGCUACAGCUCCGACUGCAUUCAACAUCGCCAAAGACGGCAUCACAUCGGGCAACAAGCCCGGCAAGACAGGAACCGCUGGAAGAGCCGGCGCCAACAUUUCUGGGGUAGGCGGAGCCGUUGCUAUGACGGUCAGAUGUGAAUCCACUAGCUUGCGACCGUGCCAGUGAGCCAUGGCCCCUGCAGCAGCGUCCAUUGCCCCAAACUUGAGGUAGGCGAUACCUGUGCUCCGACCAGUAGCAUCCCUGCGCAACUGCACUGCUUCAAGCUUGCCAAAAGGAGCAAAAAGCUGCUGGACCUCCGCCUCUCCAAGCUCCUUCACAAGAUUGCUGACCUGCAGCCAGCAGGGCCCGUUGCCCGCUAAAGCCACCUGAUUUGUCCCCUUACCACCAGACCCAGUAGAUGAAGCCAGGGAGCUCAGAAGUUGAUGCGUCGCAGCCUGGGCGGAGUGCUUCUGCUGCUGAGCUGCCUCCCAAGCCAUGUUCUUUUCGGCCUCCGAUGCCUGCCCCAGGAAGAGCGCCAACAAGACGGGCAACCAGGUUCAGGGCUUAGCUAAGAUAAGCAGAGGAGCUGUGAACAGGAGCAGCACCAGAGCAUUUUCGGUAGAGCAGUGAGUAGCAGCGUUGUCACCACCACCCCCGGUUUGCAAGUGAGAAAAACGGUACUUUGACAAUUCGUUUGUAACACGCAACUUGUUUGACACCAAUUGUGUAACAGGAGGAAAAGCUCCUGGGGUGAUCUCUUGCCUAACAACAAGAUCUUCGUCACGAAUAUGCCAGACGCCAUACAGUUGGGAUUCGGAGCUGAGCUUUCUGGCGACUGCCGCCAUUCUUGUGCUAGGAGGUUAAGUGGUAACCAUGCGUACCGGAACAGACAUCUCGUAGAGGCAGCACGUUCCUGUUCACCGAUUAAUGGAUUAAUGACUACUAGGCGCGCCAAUGCUCGUAGCAGGGGUAUGUGUAUGACUUCCCUGAAGCACCACCGAAUGUGUAUCACAAGUGCGACAGUCGUCAAAAUAUUAUGCAUCUACAAAAUAAUUCCAGCUAUCACUUCUAAAUCCUCCGCAAAACAGGGUAUCGCAUAUCGUGAAACGAAGACAUGAGCAGUUCAUACAGACAAGAGAGAACAACCCUGGACACACCUUCACCAUAACGGGCUGCCCCUUCAGGAUGUUGCCCGUGAGAGCGACCGCAGAAAUAACCUCUUCGACUUUGCUAAACUCCACAUACGCAAGGCCUCGCGACUUCUUGGUGUUUUUGUCAGUGAUGAGCCUGAUGUCUACUACGCGGCCGACCUGCAGGAAAGAGAGCGAGAGGGGAGGAACAAGUCUCCACUUCCUCUACACUUGCACCAGGCAUUGCACCAGGGCAUACAACAGACUGGAAAUUGUAAGAGGGAAAGCAGAAUAAUGGCUGUCUCAGGAGAGACCAAGGGAUUAGCGGUGCAGGCUAAGGGUCCUCUGAGCAUACCUUGGAAAAAAACUCAAAUAUGUCACGCUCGUCCGCGCGCAAGCUUAGGUUAUACGCGAAGACGGUCCGGGUAGCACGUUCCAGCUCCCUCAGUUCGCGUUCUUUUUCACGAGCCAGCCGCUCUGAAGGGGGCGUCAGCGACCGCCUGCAGGUCACGUUGAAGGUAAGACUAACGUGGAACAUUAAGGCGACUUGAGAUCCAACAAAAGAACACCAUAAACAAAGCAACAAACACAAGAAUAGCACAUUCUAGCAACUCUUCACAUACCUGCGAGAUAGCGAGCGCUGAGAAGAGCGAUAAUGGUCCGAAUAUGGCCGUGAUCGAUCUCGUGAACGGGACCUUGAACGGCGGCGACGGUCACGCGACCGUGACCGCGACCGCGACCGCGAUGACUUGUGAUGCCUGCGCCUGGACCUAGACCUGGACCUGGAGCAGCGCCUUCGGUUGUUGUCAUCAUCACUUGCUGUGCCGCCCACUGACUUGCUCCGCGCUGCUUUUGCAUCUGGGACGUGGCUGACCUCCCCAUCCAGCUGGCGCUCAAGGUACUCGUAUUCGUCGUAAGACAUAAUUCCUUAAUAACGCAGUAACAAUGCUCAAUGCCAGUCAAGGAAACAAUUAGAAAACACUGUGGAUAAAAACCUUGGUGGCAGGAUUUCUCCAAGGGCCGCCUCUUAUUUGCAAUCUUUCUACUGCAGCGAAAACACUAUGAACCGGAUGCCCCACCAAUCAUCAAGAUUAACAAGCAGCGUGCGGCAACCUCCUGCCUCCUGUGCCUUGUAUACGGCAGCGACGUACCGCUACUUUUCAAUUGUACUGCAACAAAAUCAUACUCACCUGGUCAUCUGGUUGCAUUUCUCCUGCAAUGAAGAAUUUAGCCAGAGCCUUGACAGCUUUCCGAAUGUAUAUAAUAUUUUGUAUAUAACAGUAUAUAAUAUUUUAAACCAUGAUGGAUGACGGAUGAUCCGUAAAAUCAUGGUACACUUGUUGAGGUCUGUGAACGUUGGAGCAGUAUUAAGUUCCCCGCCGGCGACGCUUUGGCUUGAGGAGACCGGCCGCAUCGUCAUCGGCAUGGAUAUUAUACAAGGUUAACCAAUAGUCCUUGAACCGCUUACAUUGUCGCAAGACAAAAUCGCGAGGAUGCCGCAAUUUAGCUUGCAUAACUGUUACCCGGGUCUUGGGGACCCUGGGGUUGCGUCGAGUCUUAAGCGCCCUGGUGGUUCUGAAAUCACUUUACGAAUCGAGGCUGUGUCGCAUUAUUAUGCAUGAAGUUUCCUUGUCUGACAAAUUGGCUGACGUGUGUAUGAAGCCUUUUGCAGACAAAUAACAUCCCUAGGGGGACAAUUAAUACCUCUGGGCCAGAGGAAAUCCUAAAGUACUGCACUUCUGAACCCUUACUGUUGAAUACAAAGGUUCGCUUCGGUGCAUAUUGUUGAAUACACCAGCGGUUAGCCAAACAGGUAGCUAUUGCGACAGCCACGACUAUCGCUGCCACUACCCUCCACGGCCCGGCCCCGCCCUGUGGCCGUUACCGUCGAGGCAGCCCUGGACAUGGACGACAACCAAGCACAGGGACUUUCACCGGAACUUCCUCGCCAACACUGCGAACCCCAUCUACGAGCGGCUUGAGCGAUAAAGGCAUCUCCGUCCAAAAGAAGCCCUGAUUGCAUUUGAGAUUAUGGCAUAGCCCAGAUGUUGGCACUCUGCUGCAUAUGCACAACUACCUGCACUCGCCACCCAAAUUGUGGGCUGGGAUACACGAGGGUAACAGCGUGAGCCCCGCAUUCCGGGCGAGUUCACAGACCCCGCCCCAGCUGCAUGUGAAUGCGGCCAUCUGCCAUCCUGCAUAGCAAAUGAGGCAGCAAAGGUUGCUCGCCACCCGCCACCGACAAACACCACGGCAUACGUCCUUCAAGAACCCAGUGCUCAGCUUCGUUAAACCCGUUUACUCGCUGUGCUUGCGGAUUCGAGAGAGCAAAGGAGGGCAUCUGAACCAAAGCCUACUUCUGAAACCAACGAACAUAGGGCUCAUCAUCUUUAUCCGCAUAGAGCAAACUUUGUAGACUGCAAUCGUGCCGUUCGUACCUCUCUUUGCGGCAUUACACUACGGCUGGCACGGCAGUAGCUCGCCACUGCAACGUCCGAAGCCGAUUCGGCGGCACGGAACGCCAUCACCACCACACCAGCCCCGCAGCGUCACAACAUCACCGUCCUCCAAGUACCGUCGCCGUACGACACCCGUACUCGCCUCCGUAACCUCCGCCCCUUUUUCCACCUCGUCGCCUUCCUCAUCACCGCCGCCAGCACCCCCCAUGGCGCUUGCCUUACACACACCGCUACCGUCGUGACCAUUGCGAAAGCCGCCGUACAGUACGAUCUCGUCCCUGCUAGCAUGUGUCAGCUCCAACAAACACCCGCUGGAGUCGGCCUCGUCGCCGCUGAUGGUUCCGGAGCCCAACAGAUCUCCAGGUCGCAGAUUGCAACCGCCAACCGUGUGGUGUGCGAUCAUUUGGGCGAAGGACCAGUAGCUGUACGGCGCGGGGAAGAUUGAGCGGGGCGCGCCAAUUCAAACGUUCUUCAUGAUAGAUGUCAGGGGUGUAUGUGCACAUGACUAUUCGUACUGCAUGGCCUUGCGUAACAGUCGUGAUUUCGCGUUACCAGCACCGACAUCCGGCUCUGAGGCCAAGGUCAAGGCACCGGCGUGGAGUGUUGCCAGGUGGCGUGCGAGGUGGGGGUGGGGUGCGGAGGAGAGCGGGCAUGUGGCGUUGUGCUCGUGUUCGUAGUGGAAGUGGGUUAGCUACAAAUUUAGCAAGUGCGAUGUGUUUCGUCACAGCCCCAUGACCAUUACGAUGAAGCACAGCGGGGGCAUUCUAUACAGGUUGGCCACCAACAUACAUACAGCCCAACACACAAAAAAGCACGAAGUCCACAAUUGCAGGAAACACAAAGACAUGCAAGCACACAAGCAACGGCUGCACAACGGUAUUCCAACGGUCACCUACAGGUGUUUCAGGUUGGAUCGUGUAACCGUCGUAGCCCGGUCAACGCCUGGCGGCGUGAUGUCCACAGCCAGGUUGACAUCGUAAGUGUACGGCAUCGCUUCUUGUAGGUACGGCAGUACGUCAGGAUCUCCAGCCUGUUUUGCAGGCGGGCGGCAUUUGAAAGGCUCCAGGGCCUCGGAGGUCACCACCCAAGGGGAGAUCUGGGUCGCCUACAAGAAGAGGGGAACGGGGAGACGGGAGCGAUGUCGCCGAUUCUGGCGGCAGGUGUGACGGAUGGUGAGAAACAAGGGGUUUUGAUGUCACACCAGCAGAAUUCAUUACAUUCCAGACUUCCUGCUGGUCAUCUUUGCCGCCCGAGAAGUCGAUAUGCGGCGAAAGGAGAUCACAUGCGAAAAAGCCAGCGAGUGAGGAACCAGUGAGAGAGAAAACAAAGAACCAAAGUUAAACGACCAGCAAGACUCCACAAACAAACAGUCUGGUCUGCUGACACUACUGCCAUAUGCGGUUUAAGGUCCGAUUACUGGGGAGACCCCCGACAUUGUCAGGAGCGUGAGAUCAUGGCUAGCUGCUGAGAUGUGGAGUUGAAGUGACAGUUGAUGGAUCGAGAUUCGCACGCUGGAUUGUUGGUGAUUGCUGAACCCUCUGUCUCUGCAGAUGUUCGGGUGACUGGAUGAGGAGGGAUCCUAGAAGGCAGGAUCAACCGCCUUGGACUUGCAGUUCGUAUGGCGUAGUACAGUGUGGUAAUGGUGGAUGGUGCUGUAUGGUGUGAUGAAUCGUAGAAUUGACAAUGUGUCCAAGUGGCCCAGAAGCCUUCCCACUCUGUAACAACAAAAAAAAUUAACAACAACGAACAAUUGACAAACGAAGCUUAACCUUGAAUGAAACUCUGUGCCACACACACACACACACAUCCUCUUCCUCCCGCACUUCAUCCCCUUCCCCCAAUGGGGCUAGGUCCACCUGCUCACCCAGGACCUACUCACCCAAUUUUUGCCGCAGAAGGGCCCCAGAGGCACAUACUCCCAUUUCUGGAUGUCCCGAGCACUCCAGUCGUUCAUCAGCACCAACCCGAACACAUGCUCCCAGGCGGAUUCCACAGGGAUAGCCUCACCCAGCGUAUUCCCGGGGCCUAUGAAGGCAGCCUGGGGGCUCCGGGGGUUGCGGGGAGGAAGACGUGACGUUGGGGCGGGUGGGAUUCAUGUCAACCCUCCCCCCCGACCGCACACUCCAUUUCUCCCCCCCCAAGAGAUAACUGAAGGACGGCGGGCGCCAUGCAAGCCGUUUUCUGUCCUCACGACCACAACCGGGGACAUCACCGGUGGUCGAAACCCACGAAAGCCCCAGACCGCCCCCCUGACCGCACCACCACCACCACCACCACCCCACCACCCCACACACACCCCACUGGGGACUGCUUGUCCCUGCAAUCUUCUUAGACACCUCUUUCCCCCUUUCUUUCCGUCGCCCGUUGCUCCUCUUUCCCCAGCCCCACUCACCACCUCCAGUUCAAAGUCCACCUGGGUGCUGGGGGCCACCACGGGACGGGGGGGAGGGCUGGAGCUGCUGACUGCACUGCUCGACCCGGGGGCCGCAGGUGGUAGGAUCUGGCCCCUACGCAGCGGGGGAGCGAGGGCGGGAGGUAGGAAGAGGGAGGCUAGAAGCGCAGAGCUGGUCAGACAGAUAGACAGACAGACUCACAUUUUCGAGUCGAGUCACACACGCUCACGUGCACAGGCCGCCGUGGGAGGAGCCUCGCCCCUUAGCAAUUAUUGAGGCACUUGAUAUUCCUCUACCUCUGAAUAGGGGAAGCUCCCGCGCACCCAAGAGGAAAUACAAAAGGACAGAGACACAUACAUACAUGCACACACGCACCUGCCUGAAACGCACGCACCAGGUUACACCGACGCUCGGUCUCCCCCUACUCCAACAACCCACCUAGGCCUCCGUACAGGUGCUCCCGAGGGUACGACAGAAGACGAGCGGCCGUGAUAACCCACCGGCAGGUGCAGCCUGAGGAGUGAAGGGGCGGGGGUCAGCAGGUACUUGACGGCCCGGCACAACUAAGGGAAGUGGCGGGUUUCCGGAUCCCAAUUAAAUUCAUGAUGCGUUAUGACAGUUUGAGACCGGGAGGGGAGUUAUGAGGGCCUCAACCCGCGUGUAACCCCAACCCGUGCCUGCAAACUGAUCUACAAACCGAUAAUACCCAUUCGCGCUGUGCUGACCCUUCACCCUCCCUCUUAUCGCCAGUUCCCAACAGUGUUUUUUUUUCAUUUUUUGCCCGACAAUUUUCCAGUCCGAACGGAGGAAAAGGUUUUUAGUCGCGGGGGGUAAAAAGUAUUCCGAAUCUGUAAGGCGCUGGGGGGGCUACGCCCCCCCCAGACCCCCCCCCGAUGAGGUUUUGUUUAGUUCGUACAAACACAGGGUUUGGGGAAUAUCGCAACACGCGCACACCACAAUCUCUCCAUAGAGGUUUCUCUUGCACGCCAGGAAGUGGCGCGCACUUGGACGCUGCACGGGUGACUGCUGUUGCAGAGCCCAAGCAAACACAAACCAGUUAGCCCCUACUCAAGCACUGAUCAAAUAGAGUUCGUUCACCGUCGUUCAUUUUGCAUCACGUUGAAAGAUAACACUAUACGACUUUCCAGAUUGUAAAAGUAAUGAUGCAUAGCAGCAAUGAACCAGAACCGCCAAACACAAACUUCCCAACAUGCAACCCCAGACAUACACCCACAAACGCAUAUAACAUACAGAUUUCCUCUCUUUUACUUUUUACUCGACAAAAUUUGGGGCUCUGUACGAAAGUACGAGCAUACGAACAGCACGUACCAAUUUGGGUUGAGGGCAUUGGCGGGCCCUCGGAACAUGGAGCCCACUCUGGUGGCAUGUUGGCGGGAGGCGUAGAAGUCGGUGUAGUCGCCGAUUUGCGCCGGCAGUAGCAUCGUCACGUCCGCCUAGCCACGGCGGCGUUUCGUCCAGGAGGGUCCAUUUCGUCCAUUUUCAGUUUAUACUUGAGGGGAAAUCUACUAGACACCUGAUUUCGACUAGAAAAAAACUACAGAUUAACGGAAAUGCAAACAGAAUUGACGAGACACCUGAUGAAUAAGGUACUGACAUAAAACAAAAAUGAGAAGGAAGAAGAUUCUCGCAGCUCAUGCUGCUACUGCUGCCGUACGACCCGUAAAAGAGGAAUUGCCCGUGGACCUGGAGCUACCUGUUUGUGUACGACACGUGACAUUAAUUCGGAAUUGUCUCGGAGCUCCCCUUCGGAAGCAUUCAGCAGCCGCUGCAACGUCGAACGCGCGGCCCUCCACGCCGGUCGGCCCGCCGCCAUGAACUCGUUAAGUCGGCCCUGUACGCGUGUGUGUACGGGUACGGGUACGACAAUCGAACAUAACUAUAUCCUCUAUUGACACACAAUAAGAUAAUAAAUGAGGUAGGUAACGUCUCUAAGCCAUAUUCAUACCAAACGUAAUAUGUUGUAUGUUUCCGAACGUCCACUGGAUGUUCGCCGACGCGCUCUGUGAGGGCUCUAUCAAGACUGCUGGGGCGGGGGGCCCCACCUUGGAGAAGACCCGUGGGUCGGCACCUGGCAGGUCACGGAAGUAGCCCCCGGCCUGCAGGCCACCAAUAACAUCAUCGCAGGCCAUACAAUGGCAACGAAAACAACAGCAGCAACAUGCCGUAAUUUUAAGUAUCGUCAGGCACGUAUGAAAGCGUGAAAGUGUAGCGGGUUGGGAAGGAUGGGAAUGUGGGUGGAAGGGGAGGUUAAGGAGCAAGGGGGGUAUUGUGUGUGCGCCGUUGCGUCCGCACGGUGGGUUUCGGAGGCCAUCAAGCAACCAGCCAUCAGCGGAGGAGGCCUGUUUCCAUGCCUCCAUGCCUCCAUGCAUGCAAGGGGCAUAGCAUGCAACAAGCUGUCACGAUGCUACAGCGAAGAAUCGAGGUUCAGACGUGAGGAGUUGGUGCUGUUGCCGUUCUUUGACUCUCGUUAAUUCUGGUCCUAUAAGAUUGGGUGGUGGUCGCCUCACCUGGAGCUCUGUGGCUGAGAUGACGUGCUGCCCCAGCGCCACGCCCACAUGGACUUGGGGACCCGCUGGGCCUGGGGCCUCAAACACGCCCCACGGCAAGUUUUCGAGCGGGAAGUCGCUGUCCAGCGGUACCUCUAUAAAACUUUCCAUUGUUUUUAUUUGUCAACAGACUUUCGAACGGCGCUUGAUGUAUGUAUGCGUGUCACUAUAGCAUCUUGUGCGAGCGUUUCCUUUUGUCUAUCCUCCCACAGGUGUUGCACUACUGCAUUACAAAAUCCCAGGCCUUAAGAGGUUAUCUGUUCAAUACAGUUUUAUUACAGUAUUUUGAGUGUGAACUACAGAAAAAGGAAGGCUACUUGGAAGGCACAUUGAUAGCGACAUCAUGAAUUGUCGUGUCCCAGCCCGGCGCGGUCGGAGCGCAAAAGACAAAUACGUCACGAAAGCGUAUUCAUAUAGAACUCUAUACAUGUAUGUAGAUGGGAGGUGAACGCUGCUUUGAAGAUGCGCCGGGACCCAUCCCUCCUCAUGGCGGUAGUGUUGAAGGAAACAUCGUCGGCAACAGCAGCAGCAUAACCUCAGUAUUAUCUCAGUCAUCAUGUCCUUUCGAUUUGUUUCCGCCCAACGUGUGGACGGUGAUAUCCCGUCACCUCACUCCCCGCUCCAUUGCAGCUCUACGCUUGUCCUGCCGCGUGGUAUCCCAGCUCAUUGAUUCACACCUGCUGCUCCACCUCAACCUGACACUCACCGUACCUUGGAUUCUCACCCAUUAUCGCUCUGGCGACUUAGCCGUGCUGGCUCGGCGCUUCAAAAACCUUCAGGCGCUCUUCCUCCGGCCCGAUAGUGCGACGGACUUCCAGAAGCGCGUCGAUGCGGAAACGUGCCUAUGUGUUCUUACCCCCUGGCCUUCCUCCCUUCGAGCAUUUCACCUCUCCGGCUGGCCGCUGCCGUACCAGCUGCGGUUUUGCUGCAGCCUGCCGUACUGGGCCCCAGCGCUAACGACGCUGGUGCUGGAAGGUCCAGCCCCAGGAGCCCACGAGGGUGCGGCCUUGGCGGAGCUGCCAUCGCUCCGACGGCUAGCGGUGCGGUUCGGACCUUUGUACGGACUGAAGCUGCCGUACACGUGCCCCUACUUGGGUGCGCUGACGCAGCUGACGGCGCUGCAGCUGGCGGUGAGAGCUUGCAGGUUUGGAAAGCCCUUAAAAAGGCCCCUGUUGGGUCUGUGGUGGCCCCCCGUGUGUGCGUGUGUCCCAGUAGCUCAUGGCCGUGACGAGAGGACAGACGCUCAUCCCCUCUCCCUAUCUUGCCCAACAGCCCUGCCUGAUACCCACCCGCGCGCGCCCCCUCACCACCAGGGUGCAGUGCCAAAUCAGGCAACAGUAUCCUCGUUGUCGCCCCUCACCGGCCUGCGACACCUGCACCUUGAGCUGCUGCAUGAUGGGUACGAUAAGGGUAUGCAGGUAUGGCGUACUGCAAUGUACGGUCAUCUCUUUCGCCCCCUUAUGGCUUUCUGCGCGCUCGUGCACGUUCUGACCUCCCAAGCAUGUGUAUCCACUUGUGUGCGUGUGCCGAUCACUCCAUCUUACAACACGAACAUGGGUGGGAAUUCAUCGCACUCCAUUCGCUCUCUCCCCACCGGCACAGUGUCCGUUUGUCUUGGGGCGAGCCACCCAAACCGUAUACCUCCAAUCCCAACAGCACUGGCGGGCUGGGGCCUCCGAUGGGUUUUAUUAUACCUUUGUGAGAGCGAUCCAGGUCUGCAUUCCUUCACCUCCUCAAGCCUCUGGUUCCCUCUCCCCUGCAAGUUAAAAACGUUUGGGCGCCUUUCGUCUGGGUACAUUUUAAGGUCGAAACCGGAAUUGUUGGAUCCUUCUCGUACGGGGCCGGAGACCUGAGCGCAAGAGAGCCCCCGGGACCUUCUCACCCCCAACCCGCGCCCGCAUCCCCUCCUCCUGCACCCCCUCCUCCUCCUCCUGCUGCUGCUGCUGCUGCAGGUCCUCGAUCUCCGAGGGCACAGCUGCCUGAGCAGCUUAGUGCUCCGUGCGAGAUCAGCUCGACACUGGAGCGAUGAGGAGGAGGAUAACGAUGGCCGCGGCCCUCUCACCUCGCCCUGCUGCUACCACCACCAUCACCGCGGUCGACAUGACCCCCCCCGCCGCCGCCACCACAGCAAACUACACGUUCCCCGGUCUCGCCCGGCCGCCGCCAGCCCGCUGCCCUGCCCCGUAGCGAUACGCCGGGUGCUUCAGUGCCUUCCAGCCUCCCUGGAGUCUCUGGCAGUGGACCUGCCGUGGUGGGGACCCGGGGCGGUGGCGCCGCCACCGCCACCGCCGCCGUCAGCGGCGCUGGCGGUAGCAGCAGCAGCAGCAGCAGCAGCUGGGAGUUUCCAACCGGCGAUACGCUUUCUCGCCUGUCCUCCGAACCUGGUCUCUUGCCUGUUGGGUCUUGGAAUCGACAUGGCGUCCCUGGUCGGUCUGCGCCUCUGUGCCGUACCUUCGGUAACUGCUAGCAACGGUUGCUGCUGCGGAGGAGGAGGAGUGCAGGUGGGGCUGCAGGGGUGGUGUACGGAGGCUGACGUUAGGUGGUACGGUGCGGUACCGUCGUGUUGGCCGUCAUGUGAGUGCUGCGGCGGCGAGGGCGGCGGCUGCGAUGUGAGCAACGGAGCGAUGGGGCCGACGGGGCCACAUCGGUCACGGAGCAGUAGUAACUUUCGGCGGUGGACGGAGGCGGCGGCGGAGGCGGCAGCGGGCUCCAGCCCUGCGGGGCGAAAUGCGGCGGUGACAGCGACGCUUGGGACCGUGACGGGGCCGCGAAGACUGUACGACAGUCGUGACGUCGUGACGGCACUGAGUUAUCUUCCGCUGCACCUGGCCUGUACGGCUGGGCCGAUGGUGCCCGGAGCGCUACAUGCCCGCGGCGACGCGACUGCUGCCGCCGCCAACGUCACCCGCACCGCUGACCCCGGUGGCGGCGGCGGCGGUGGUGGCGGCGGUGGUGGCGGCGGCACCAGCGGCAGCGGUUGUUCAGCGGCAGCGGGACCUUUGCGGCACCUGGAGGUGAAUCAACUAUCUUAGCUGCCAUCCCGGGUUGGUGGGUGCUUCAGGCUUCAAACCCUAACUAAAGGCUGGCUAAAACCCUAAGCUUUCGACCUUCUGAGUUGAGAGCAAUUCGGACAGGUUUCAAAGCCCCAGCUCGACGUUUUCUCUUUUUGUUGUGACUGUUUGGGGAUGCAGCAGGCAGCGCCGUAUACCGACCGCCACCAUAUACUGCCGCCGUUACGGUCUUCGCCCUUUUGAGAAACUGUUGAAUAGGGCUUAAUGUGCCUUCGGGUUCAAAGACAUUUAAACCUCUUAACCUGUCUGCCUUUAACGACUAACUACCUACCAAACGCUACCUGCUGACCAUUGACCUCCUUAACUUGACUAUUGCUUCAUUUCUGUACAGGUUAACAUCUGUAUAGGAAGAGCCGACGUUGACGCUCUCAUGCGUGUGCUAAGGCGGCUCAAUGCCAUCUCAAUCACUGCUAACGCUGCUACGGCUACUGCUACGGCUACUGCUGCUAGCGCUGCGCCUGCGGGUCCCGCCAGCGCAUCCAUCGCUUCAGCUUCUUCUGCCGUACAAGCCACUUCUGCCACUGCUACUACUCCCACAGCCGUUGGCCCCUCUGCGCCGCCCGCUGCUUCAAUGGGUCGUUCCAGCCCCUGCGCCGCCGCCAGUACGGCUGAAAGCCGCACCGGCGGUGCUGAUGGCACUGACGGCGCUAUUCCCGCAGGUACCAGCGGCAGCCGCGGCUGCAACGCUGCCGCCCCCACUCUGGAUCUUCAGCUUUCCUUGCAGCGCGACUUGGCGCCAGCAGCUCUCGCCGCCUCAUUAGCCUCGGCCGCCGGUGACGCGGUCCGCCAUCUGGCACUCUUUGACCUUGACCUGUCAUACUCCUCGCAUCUUAAACGCGACCCGUGCAGCUACCAGUCGUACGAAGCGGAGUCCCUCGCCGCUGCCACCGCGGCGGCCCGACUCGUGCAAGGUCCUGUGCAUCUGCCCUCCGUUGAAACAGCUCCCCUGCCACGCGAGUUCAGUUGUGCUGCCCCGACUGACGGUGAAAGUAGCAAGGAGGAGGAGGAGGAGGGGGAGGAGGGGGGAGAGGAGGAGGGGGAGUUCCCUGGAGCCACGAUAGCGGCCAGCGCGGCUGCUGCCGCUGGCGCUGGUGGCCGCACUAUGGCGGAAAGCAGCCAGGCUGACCCUCGUGCAGCCGCCAUUAGCUCCUUGAGAGGGGACCCCCGGAGUGAGCUGGAGCUCUUCCCGAUGGCGCCAGUCACUUCCAUGGCCGCUGCCGCCACCUCAUUGCGGUUUGUGGCGGCGUGCUGCCGCCUGCGGCAGCUGCGCAGCCUCACGUUGCAGCCUGUACGCAACCUGCUGUGCGCGUUGCGCCUGCUGGCCGGCCAUCCCACGCUGCGUGUGCUGUGCCUGCUGUGCGUGGAGGAGGACGGCGCGCACGCCACUGAUCGGCCGCUGCUGCCACGCCUACGGGCGCUGGUGCUGGCCUUGGGUGGUAAUGGCGGCGGCGACCCGUGGGUCAGUCGUGGCCGUAUCGGUGGUGGCGGCGGCGUGGAAGCGACAGCACUUGGUGAAGGUGACGGCGGCCGCGACAACGACCCGCGGAUCAGUGGUGGCAGCGUUGAUAGCGGCGUCAUGGAGAAGGGUCCGUUGCUCAGCGACCCAUGGGUCGGCGAUCGCGCCCGCAGCAAGCCAGAGGUGGCGAUCGCGGCGGCGCCAGCUGCAGCGAGCAGGGCUCCCUCUGGUCGUCAAGGGGGAGAGGGGCCCUGGUUGGGCUCGCGUGGGGUGGUGGUGGUGGUGCCGCAAUUGGCGGCAUGGGAGGUGGAGGAGGUAAAUCGAGAAGUCGAGGCAGUGACGGGCGGCAAGUGCACAUAUGUGUGAGCUGCUGGGUGGCUGGUGAGGGAGCGGGUUCAGAGGUGGCGCCCGGUUGGCCUUCGUUUGGCUGAUGGAACUGGGCUUGGGAGGAGUCAAGAGUGGGAGUGAGACCGGAAUCAAAGAAUUGGAGUGAGGAUUAGAGCGAGAAUUGGAGCGAGGAUUAGAGUGGGGUAGGGCCUACUUUGGACUGAUGGAUUUAUCGUUGGUGAUCUUUUCCUCUAUGCGACAGGAGCUCCCCCAGGUUGGCUUGGGCCCGUAUAGAUGGGGAACAGGAUGGGGGCCAGCGUUAUGGGUCCUAUGGGAUCGACUAGAUGAUCAGUUUCAGUUCGUGUAGUUCGGUAGUUUGCCCGACACUGAACUACUGAGUCUCUUGGGAAUUCGAAGGUUAUGAAUUUGAAGGUUAUUCAGAGGCUGGGUUGGCAUCAGGGCAAACAGCAAUCGCGUGGAGCGAAUCGGGUUUUAUUAAUCGGCACACAGUGUCCGUUGCUCCUGUAGCUGGCGGCUUCGUCAACCGCAACGGGAAGAAGGCCACGCGGGGUAGAGGCAGCUAUUGGGGAUGAUGUUGGUGUUGCACAUGUACACUUCGUGUGUAGGCCUAUUGUUGGAUUGGGUUGGCGAUUGUGGAGGUCUAGGACCAACGUCCUUUCGUCUCUCGCACUGCCGUACGACCAUUUUUCUUCGCGUCAGGUUACUUUUACAGAACUAGCCUUUGCCGAUACGUCGUCGCUUACUUUGGGCUAUCAUGCGCGCAUGACCGGUAAGGGGGCCUCGUUUGCCACGUCCACUGCCUAGGGCAGUUUUGAGUGAACGAGGCACGGGUUCUGCUAAGACGAUGCAUGAUUUCUCUGGAGGUACAGAAUCUAGUCGUCGAUAGCUCAAUACAAGCUCGGAGCUCUGAUCGCGUCCUUCGCAGGUCGUUUUUGCACUGUGCCAACGACUUCGACAGCAACCGCAAAUUGUGCACCGGACCAAUUUUGGAAUUAUUUACGUGUGCCCUAUGCAUUUGAUGCCCAACGCUAUUCUUGCCUCGUCACAGUAGCGUUUUCGCAGCCCUCCCUCAACUUGCGGGAACUUUCGCGCUACAAUCAAUCCUUGCCUAUCCUUAAUCACAACUUCGGUGAAACACCAACGGGAAACAGUGCGAAGUCCAGUGACCUGCGUAUAAACCUGCCAUGAGGAUGCUUGUCGUGUUGGGCUUAUUGCUGUGACGGACACCGAGAGCUGCUUGACAUGAGCACCGAAUACGGAGAGGACGAAGUGGCUGAUGGACUGCUGCGUCUCGCAGCUCAAUUGCAGACGUUUGCAGCAUCUGUCCUCGGCCUGGAGCUUGAUUACGGUAAGUGCCCUGCUAAGUAUCGAUGUUCUGCGGCUGGAGUUUCUGGCGUUGCUUCCCUGGCAAGGCCGCAUUACAGGACAUCGUGCAGCUUUGGCGCCAUUCAACAUUUUGUCCGUUCGUGUCGUGCCCGCAGUCACGCCUGACAUCCAAGGACUAAGCGGAUGGGUCGCGGGUGCCCGUCCAUCUACGACGCACCCUGUGAUUGCACAUUUCCGGGCCCCGCGGGAUUCCGAAAAUGCCGCACCCAUCCUCGCUGCGCUGCAGCCACGGAGUCUGCCUCCCGAGCACAACGAAUAUGUAUCCCUGGCGCAGUACUUGCAUGAAAUUCCCGCUGAGCUUCUCGCAGACGACACUGCGCCCAGGAGCGCACACUCGCGCGCACCCUCCCAUCGGCACACCACCAGCGCAGCUGCAGCAACCCCUCCGCCUGCGCCUUCCGCCUGCACCACCUGCCAUGCACUACCUGCAUACAAUCCCAGUCAUCCCAACCUAGCAGUUCUAUAUGACGUCAUACAGGACCGCGCAGCGCUGGUCACUACCAGAGCAGCGCCAGAAACACUUCAGGAAACAGCAGACAACGAAUCCGCCACGGCCACCGCUUCGCCAUUGCCGCCGCCAGCGCCUGAGCCACCACCUCUGCGGUUAGCACCAACACAGCCACUGCCGUUGGGUGUCGCCACCGUGGGUGCAUCCUGGUACCCGGGCUGUAGCCUGGCGGACUGCCUCCGCUUCCCAGCGGCAGCCGCCAGCUGCGGUCUGCUGCCUGGCGGGGGUGGCAGAGUGGGUGGGGGUGGGGGUGGCAGCAGCGGGGGUCCACCGGGAGGUGAUCAGCACCUCCGCUUUCUGCUGCUACAGCUGGUGGCGGCUGUGUGUCAUCUGCACAGCCAUGGCUACGACCUAGGGGGCGGUGGCGGCAUCACCACCGCCACAGUGCUGCUGCAGCCCGGCGGCUGGCUGCAGCUACUGCCGCCGCCAAUGCCGCCGCAACCGCUAUCGCAGCAGCAGCAGCCACAGCAGCAAUCUAUCGGGAAGCAGCAACAGCAGGUGGCUGCGCCGCCGCCGAUACCGCUGCUUCCGGCAUGCCUGCGACGCCCCUUACCAACUUUGCCGGCGUUGACCCGUGCCUGGCAGCACCACGCGCUGUCGACGCUGGACUACCUGAUGCUCGUCAACCUCUUGGCGGGGCGCCGACUGGGCGAUCGGACCUUUCAUCCCUUUGUUCCCUGGGUUACGGACUUCUCAGUGCCGCCGCAAGAGAUGCUGGCGGCGGCCGCCGCCGCUAUUGGCGGGAGCGGUUGGAGCUGCGGCGGUAGCAGUCGUGGCGGCAGCGGUAGCGGUGGGGCCAGCGGCGGAGGUGCCAGCGGCGGCGGCGGCGGGGGCUGGCAUGACCUGACGAGGUCGCGAUACCGGCAGGCGAAGGGGGAUCUGCAGCUAGAUGUCACAUUUUCAUCUUCCGAAGUGCCGCACCACAUACCGCAGGUGGGGUGGAGUGGACUGGGGCUAGGAAACACAGCAAAGGGAGGCCGAUGUAAUGGGAUGAUGAUAAAAGGAAUUGGAUUUCCGCUAUAGGGAAAUGGGGGGAAGAGGUCGGGUUGGGGAUGGAAGGCACGGAGCUGAAAGCCUGCCAGGGCAUAUAGCUGCCGCCGGCUGCUCGCGCACCGCGGCCCGCGUGACAUAAUCGAUUACCCUACUCACCCCGCGCAAAGCCUCAUCACUAGGGGGUUCCUGGAGGGAGAGGAGGGAGAACAAUCCACAAACAUAAGCAACAGCGACAAAAGGUCAAACGUGAAUUGCUAAGGCAAGUUUUUGCCAGGGCUGGGCAUCCCUUUCUUACCGCCAUCCUCAACGAGCUCAAGCGCCCACUUGAAUACUGUGUUAAAGCAUUUUAUUCCGGGUUUCACGUCCCGUCUUUUAGGGCCAACGAAGCCCUAGCCCUAAUGUCCAUCGGCCCAUCGGCCCCUGCCCACCCGCUGCCUCUGAGCGCCACCCCGCCCCCUCCCCCCUUGGUAUCCCCUCUGGUAUCUGCUUCACUCGCCAGUGGUUCGUCUUGCCCCCUCCCCCCCUCCCUGCCCACCGCACCGCCAGGAGCCGCUGUCGGAGUUAAGCUUUUGCAUAUACAUGGCACGUGUCACGCCGCGUGCCGUACUACAGCGUGCCGUACGGUCCCACUUUGAGCCUCGGGAGUACCCUCCCUCCCUGGAGACUAUGUUGGCACGUACUCCGGACGAGUGCCUGCCGCAGCUGUACACGGACCCGGGGAUCUUCAGGUGCGAGGCCGGGUUUCGGAGCGGGCGGGGAGGAGGCAUGGAGGUUGGAUUUUGUGGGGUUGCCAUUGUCUGUUUGUGUAGGCAACGUUGGACACUUGUUAGGGUUAGGGCCCACGAGGGUUGCCAUGGAUGAUGGGUGAAAAGGAUAUGGUUUGACCUGUGUGUGUGUGUGGUGGUGUGUUUGUUAUAAGUGUAAAGAUGAGAGGGAUUUGCAUGAAGCGAGAUCCUAUUAAAAGUUCCCUCUCCUCUCCACCCUCCCCUCCGUUCCGCCCCUCCUCAUCAUCAUCAUUCUGGACACCAGCUGUUUAAUGCUUUAGACGUUUUCACUGCAGUGCAUAUAACUCCUGCUCCCCCCCCUCCGCCCCCUCCACGACAGCUCCAUCCACCCGGAGCUACCUGACCUGCAGCUGCCCGAGUGGGCCAGCAGCCCGCAGGAGUUCAUACGUUGGCACAGGUGCGCGGGUGAUGAGGGCGGGCGGGGAAUGGAGGAGGAACGCGCGAGAGCGGGCCAGAUGGGUGGCCUGCGGAUGGUUGAGGAUGGAUUGGGGGAGAGGGGGGAAGGGCGGCCGGAGCACUAAACUAGAUUCAAACGCACAUGUGGGUGCAACCGAGUGCCGUUAGAAACUGUUACACACCACCCAGGGCUCCGGGGCCAUGCAUGUUGCACCCACACAACAUGUGGGUGCGCCGCCCUGAGGAUAAGUUCACUUGCCUGUUGCGUUGCAAAGACAUUUCUACCUGAUAAUCCAUGACCCUGUACCUUCCCCCUCCAACCCCACCCCACCCCUGCAGGGCCCUGUUGGAAUCCGACCACGUCUCCCGUCACCUGCACCACUGGCUGGACCUCUUCUUCGGAUACAAGCUGGUGGGGGCCGCAGCAGUGGCGGCGAAAAACGUGUACCUCACCAACACUCAGCCGCAGACCGCUGCAGCGGCGGGGCCAGCAGCAGCAGCAGCCUCAGGCCCAGCCGCUGCCGCCAUGGCCUGGUCCACGGCAGUGGCGGAGGGCUCCGCAGCUUCGUCGUUGCUUCCCUACGCACCCGUGGGCAUGCACCCGCCGCUGUUCCUGUCGCCGCAUCCGCCGCGGCUGCCAUCCCCCCACCCUCCGGCGCCCGCCGCAGCCGCCGGUCCUGCCGCCGCCAGAACCGGGACCUGCGGUGGAGGUGGAGGCGGAAGCGUAUCCACGCACAGGCAUCAUCGCCGCGGGAGAUUGCCAAGCGGGGAUUUAGUCCAUAGUACUGGCAAUGCCGGUGGAGGCUGUCGUGUUGGGUUUGGCUCGGGUGCGGGCGCAGCUGAAGGUGGUGGUGGUGGUGGUGGCUCCAUUGUCUCCGGCAUAGGCGCCGUGUUGUGCCAGCUUGACAGCUUGGAGCUUUUGGGUGCGGUGGCCGCCAGGGAGGGUGGACUGGGGCUGCAUGAAGACUACUUUGCCCCGCUGAUGAAACCGCUACCGCUGCCGCGGCGGCGGCCGGAACCGGCAUCUCCCGCGGCAGCAGCUGCCCAUGAUUUAGGGGCAUGUAUGGAGCUGGGCUUUGAGGAGGAGCCCGAGGAGGCGGAAGAAGGGGAGGAAGAGGGCCUUACGAAAGGGUUGGUGGGGUCGGCGGCGGCUGUCGGCGGCAACACCACGGCCUCAGCGGCAGGCGGGCGAACCUGGGGACAGCAGGGGGGUAUGGCGGAGGAGUCGGUGCUGGCGCGGAAGCGACAGGAUUGCUGGGUGAGUUUCGCGGGGCGCGAUGUGCCCCAUGCGCCAUUCCAGUCCCGAACACGAGGGAGGGAAUGGGCCCGGAGUCAGGGCGGUUGGACUGCCGGGUUGGAGUGGAGGGCUUGCAGUGUGGGCGGAGCUGGGCCGGGUGGAGUGGGGAACGCAAGUGGGCCCGAGAAGUGGGCGGGAGGUGUGAGUGUGAGGGGAGGGGGGCCCUAAAGGACGGCACUAGGGAUCAUUCAUGGAGAUGGUGCUAGAGAGCGUUACAUGGAGAGAGGAUGGGCGUCAGUCGGCCGUUGGGUCGCCGAGGAAUAUGCGGGAACUGUUUGGUAUGUGACUUGGCUUUGCCAGGGCACGUAGAGCGGGGUGAAAUCUACCUGCAGUGGGGCGUGGAGAGGGCUCAGCAGCGAGCGAAGGCUGAUGUGCAAUGGCUGGAGGAGGUUCUGCCUAAACAAAAGCAGGGAACAAACAGGUAAGGAGUAUGUGGGGCACAGCAUAUACACAGUACAUCAGGUAAAGCGCCGUAGGCCAAGUCUCCAAGCCAAGCUCACGGGGGUUCCAAGGCAGGUCAGGAGUGUGGUGCCUGAUCUGGACCUGCUUUGCAUUGCUUUGUUUUUGCUUUAGUCGCCUAAUCUGAUUUUUACCAAGUACACGCGCUCACGCAGAGGCGCCUGCGCGCCGUCCCACAGGCGAUUGGUCAGGUGGCUGUGCAGCUGUACCUCGGGCGGUGCUGCUACGGCCCGCAGCAGCAUGCGGGGUACUGGCUUCGACUGGCGGACGGACUGCCCGCUGCGGCGAAGCGCUUUGUGCGGCUCUGCUUCGAUCCGCUGGUAGGUGGGAGCAGGGGUUAAUGCUGUUAAUGCGUCCUUCCUUAAGUCGUUUUUUUCCUGAUGUUUUAGUGCGGAAAAGGUAUUUUCAGGGAUCCUCUUGUUCUCGCUGAUCACUUUUGUGGGUGUGGUGCCAGUGCGCGGGUUAGGAUAGGAUGGGUGGGAGAGGGGCCCCAAGGAAACACGGAUUGCCGCUUUGGAACUAGGAUCCUGGAAUUUACUUCCAUAUCUUGGAACUAGAUUUGAAUUAGAUAUGAAACACCGGGCUCUCUACCCGGGUCACCUUGCCCAUGCCUUGUUUUCCCACUAGACCUGAGCAACUGACGUUAUCGGGCCCCCUCUCCCGUUUUACGCCAUGAAUCUCCCCCUGCAGACCACCUCGGAGCGCCUCCUCAGCGACCCUUUCUUCAGCCCCGCGUUGCAUGCAGCACACGAAUUGCUGUGUACGACGCUGUACGACGGCAAAGCUGCGGCAGCAUUCAAUAGUACACCAGCAUCGCUUCCGCCGCCUCCGCUGUUGCGAGUACCAGAGCGACUCAGCGCUCUGGCAGCGGUUGCGACCGUUGGAACACGGUUGCGUCCGGUCUUGGACCUUUGCCUGCCACAUAUCAUACAUCUGCUGUGGCAAGCCGCCGCCGUCUGCAACUCUCUGGGGCACGGCCCCGCUGCUGUCGGCGGUGGCGGCGGCAGCGGCUGUAGCACGAAUGCGAAUGGUUACGGUGCCGUCGCGGCGUGUUUCCCGCAGCCACCUGCUGCUACAGCCACGGCAGCAGCCACAUCCACAGUGACGGGAGAGCCAACCCUGGCCACCGAGGUGAGCAGCUGUGUGUACGACAUCCUGAUGGCGCUGCUGGGCCUGCUACCUCCAGAUAAGGUUGCGGCGCACGUGUUGCCGUACGUGUGCGCAUGCCUGGCGUCCUUUAUUGAGCAGCCGCUGGAUGGCGGCGGCGGCGGUGUUGGAGGCCCGCGGCAGCGGCGGCGGCAACUUGCCCUACAGCACCGGUUGUUGUCGGCCUCGCUACAGACGCAGCUCCUGGGAGGAUCGGAUUUGGAGUUAUACAUGCAGCACGUUCUGCCGUUCCUGCUGGCGGCGCUGCUGUGCGGCGAGGAAGGCUCGUCAUCGGGGACAACGGCAGCGGCAGCGGAUAGCGCCGCGGCCGCGUCCGGGCCGCCCAGCGGCAGCAGCGGUGGCGAUGCCGCUGUUGGCGGUGUUGCGCGCGCCCUGGCCGUUUCCACCAUCAGCGACGCCGCCGCCGCGGCGGUGGUUGCGCUGGCGGCGCGGCUUCCGCUUCCGCUGGUCUUAGAACGUAUUGUAAGCCCUCUGCUAUCGUACAUGACGUUUGGUACGAGCGUACCGCGUCUGCUAGCGCAGCUGUGUGCGGAGAUGGGCGGUCAGCUAACGGCGCGCCAUGUGGCGCCUGCGCUGCUGCAACUUGCUGUCGUACCAGCGCCGCCUCCGCCGCCGCCACAGUCCGUCGCGCCGAGUCGUGGGGUGGGUCGCGGCAGCAGGUCGCAGCAGAGCUACUCGUCAUUGAGAGCUUCGGGCGGCACAAAAAGCGAAUUCACUUCAGCAUCCGCCUCUAGCGCCGCCGCCGCCGGCACCUCAGAGUCGGCAGCGACAGUGCCGCCGUCACCGCCUCCGACAGAGCCGUGGCUUCAGCACCAGAUCUACACUUCUCUGUCCGUACUUACUGCUGUUAUGGACCUGCUCCCGAGGGAAUACAUCCCGCGGGUUUUCCUCCAUGGGCUUGCACCUUCGUGGGUCCUGGGGCCAGCCUCACCGUCGACCCACGGGUCACCCGCCGCCAGCCCGGGUGUGGCGGAUGCUGCCCCUCUACCGCCGCCGCCGCUGAACCCGAUGUCCGCUGCCGCCAGUCCCCGUACGUCCAUCACCGCCGCCGCGGACGGCGUUCCGUCGCUGGUGAACUGCUUCCUGUAUCCGUUGUCGUACCGUGUAGCGCCGGGGUCGCUGACAAUGCUGGCGGGCCUUGCACUACGGGCCUUUGCCCGCCUGGCCCGGCCUGAGAACGUGGCCUGGGUCGUACUCCCGCACCUCACGCCUCUGCUCUCCUACGCGUCGGCGGCUCGCCGUGCCUCCUAUCGAGCUAACGGUACAACGCGGUACUGGGGGGGAUCUGACGUUGCACACAUCCACGACCAGGGUCUGCCGGCGGUGGCGAUGGCGCAGUACGGCGGCAGCGCGGGCGCGGCGGCAGCCGCUGCUGCCGCCGCCGCCAUCGCCAGCCAGGGGAACGGUUCCAACGCAAGCUGGACGCUGCACCGCAGUCGAUCUUCACCGAGCGGCGAAGGCGUCGGCGGCGUGGCAGGCGGUGGAAUUGGGAGCGGGGGAUCCACAGCGGCCGCGGCGCAGGGCGCGUGUGAUGAUGAGGACGGAUACUGGGAACUGGUACACUGCGUGUACGGGUAAGCAGGGGCCCCAUGGGCGGUCAGUUGUCAUUAUUGUGGCGCCGAGUGAGGACCUGGCUUGAUAGGUCUGAAGUGUGAAAGAGAGAGAUGGACAGAGGGAGCGAACAUUGGAGCGUGUAAAUAUGUAUGUAUAUGUAUCUAUAAUCUGUACGUGAGAAGCUCAUCAAUCGAUACAGCUAAAAAUCUGAAAUUGUCGGACGAUACUUACUUGACCUUCCAUCAUUUGUCAAAUUUUAGCUUGCGCAAUAAUGGGUGCUAAUAAUCGGCAAAAGGAACUAUAAGAAAAGACUUGUAUUGUAUAUACAUACAUAUACCGUUAUGUUGACUUCAUGCAAGGGCGGUGCUGUGUCGCGGUGGGGCUGGGGUAUAUAUACAUACAUACCCUCGAAUGCUCUCCUGCGCACCCACCGCCACCAACAUGGCACUCCGCCAGCACAAGCCGCGUAUGCCGCACUCCAGAACUGCCAACCGUCAACCGCCCUCGCUGCAAAUGUAGGCACCUGGUGGAUUCAUCUGGCUUGCUGACGGUUCGGAACUUGCUUCCCGGCUGGCAGAUUGUGGAGGCGGGGCUGUCGAGGCGCCUGGGGUGGUCUCCGGCCGCCGCGGGGCUGUGGGGCGUUGGCGGCCUUGACAGCGGCCUAGGUGGCAGCAGCACCGCUGCGGGUAGCGCCGGUAGCGCGGAGUCGGCAGCGGGAUCUUGCGGUGAGACGACAGCAGGGACGGCAGAAGGGGGCGGCGGCGGCGGCGGCGGCGGCGGUGCUGCCGCCGCUGGCAGCGGUGGUGGCGGCGGCGGCAGCUCGCGUCGGAGCGCUCUGUCUGCUCUGGAGAUGCAAGUACGGCAGGAAAUUGCAAGCAAGCAGCAGCGCCUGGCGGCAAUCCACGGCACCCACUUGUUCAUCAAGGAGGUCGGCUGGUCAGCGCCGACAUCCCUGGCGACGGCGGUGCCGCCACGGUCCUCGCCCAAGGAUGUGCCGUACGCGGUUAACGGCGGUAUUGGUGGGGGACAGGGGGCGUUGUCUGCCGCCGGCGGAGCCGGCGGCGGCAGCACCGCCGCCGCCGCCGUGGGUGGCGGCGGCUAUCACUUUGCACUUGGUGGCGGGUACGGCUUCGGGCCCCACGGAGUGGGACGCGAUGUCUGCGGCCCUGAGGAGGGGUUUGUGUGGCCGCAGCUCUUAGCGAUAGGGUCGCCGACGGUGGUUGAAGGCUUGGCUGUUCAAGGCGGCGGCGCCGCCGCUGGUAUGGGCGUCACUGGAGGCAGCGGAACCGGUGGUGCACUACUGGGCCGUCAGGCUAGCCUGGGCGGCGCGUUGGUGUCAAUAACGCCCAACGGCGCUCGCCGUACUGGCAGUGGAGGUAGUGGCGGCGGCGCAGCAGGUAGCGGCGGCGGCCGCAACACCACUGUCCCUUUGGGGACGGUUGCGGCGGCGGGCGCGCGGGCAGCUAGAGGGCCCGGCAUAGGGAAGGAGGCGGCAGCGCCCAGGCGUGAAGUCGAUUCGCGAACGCAUGGCGUGGGCCCCUCCUCCUCCUCCUCCCCGGCCGUCUCCUCUUGCGGCGGUGGUGGAAGGGGACGCUCUGCACGGGUCGAUGAUUUGGGUACGGCGGCUGAGCAGGAGCAGGCCAAGGCGGCGGGCCCUGCAGGGCAGCAUGUGGGGGAGGCAGCAGCAGCAGCUGUAGACUCGCUGUCGAUUGCGAAGUCCGACAGCAGCAACACCACAGCCUCAAACUUUUUGCGCCGUCGAAGCGAUCGGGAUUCGACUCCCAUACAGGACGCAUUUUCUGAAGGAGAUGAUCUUGCCGCUGCGUCUGUUGUGGCGCCGGUUGGAGCUCCCGCCACUCCCACCUCCACGGCAACCACCUCCAGUGUCAACGCGCCUGGCAAGGAGAUGAAGCAAUCAUGCGAUAGUGGAAGUGCUGUGACGUCGCCUGUGACGGCGUUGACGCGGCAUGCUGGAAGCGUUGUUGCGAGCGGCCAUUCAUCGGCGGCCGUGGAAGCGAUGGCAGAAGGUUCGAAGCCUCAGCUGCUGCCGCCGCCGCCGGCUGUUGCCGUUGUGGCCGACACGGAGGUGGUUUCGGGACGGGAAGGCGAAGGCCCACGGGAGUCGCCGUCAACGGGAGCCGUACCAGCUCGCACUGGCCGUGUCAGCAACGUCAAGCGGCCGCCCGUACAAACUGAACUGAUGACGGCUUCUUCAGAUUCACCGCUGUACCCGCCACCAGCAACGGAACGAAGUCCAGAGGAACUAUCACCUCCGCCGCAGCCGCAGCCGCCACCACCUUUACAGCUAGGCAGGCUGGCAGGAGUCGACGGCAGCGGUUCAGCCGUUGAGGUGCUAGGGGCAACGGCGACCGCGGCGGCGGCGGCACUGCCGCCGUCGCCUUUUCCAUCCUCGGCAGCACCAGAUGUCUUGACCGCGCCGCCGCCGUCGCCGCCAGUGGAACCGUUGCCGCCGCCGCCGCCGCCAGCCCAGCAUCACCUGGGCUCCGGCACCUCAACUGCAUCGCCGCAGCAGCCUCCGCUGGCGUCAGAAGCGGGUUGUUCCGCAGCGGGCCGGUCUGCCGGCCGUCGCGGCAAUGGCGCCGCCGCCGGACACUCCCUAUCGCCUCUACUCAUACCGCCACCCGUUGUGUCCGACAGCCAGGUUCCGGAUACUGGGAGUCAGCGGUGGCACUGGCUGCCGCCGCUCACCUCCGCGGCGAAUGCCGUACAUACUGCCGCUGCUGCGGCGGCAUGUGGUGCGUCCAGCGGUAGUAGCUGCCGCGCUGGAUCGCGCGCACGGCUGCUGGCGGCAGCGGCCGCGCCUCCGGCUGCUGGCGAUGUAUGGAGCUUGCAAGCAGCUGUCGUACACUCGUGGCCGGCACAUCGAGAUCGCAUUCGAGCUCUUGCGGCGCAUCCAGGCGAAUGUGCCGUACUGACGGCGGGGCGAGGGAUGGUGGCGGGACGUGAGGGGCCCGUCGUCCGCGUAUGGUCGCUGGCUGACUGCCAGGCACGUGUACAGUACGGUGGUCAUCGUGCUGCCGUACACGCGUUACUGCUGAUCCGCGCGGCGCGCGCCGGUGGUGCUGUAGUCGCGUCGCUUGACGCAGCUGCGCAGUUGCAUGUGUGGGCGUACGACACUGGGCAGCAAUUGGCCUGCUUUGCGCCCGUGGGGGGAACUGGCGCCGGCGGAGGACUUGCCAGCGGAGGCGGCGGAGGCGUUGGCAAUGCCGCCGGUAGCGGCAGCGCGGCCGCCGCCGCCGUUGGCGAAACGCCUGUUCCGUCGGACUCCUCGCCGGAGGUUUCCUUGAGCAGCAGCGCUUGGGGCGAACUCAUUGACAGGUACAUUCAGAAGAUGUACGACACCUGUGUCUGUAGGGCCGGCUGAAAUGUCAUCUCACGCUGUCUUGAGCGCUUUCUCUGACUGGUUCUGGUCAGCUGAUCCUUUCUGGCCACUUGGCAUAGAAGACGGAUGGCACAUGUCUGCAUGCAUGUACGUGCGUACGUAUAUACGUACGUAUAUACGUACGUAUGUAUGUGUGUUUCGUUGCAUAGUGGACUGGCAAGCCGCCGGCAGCCCAAGCUGACAGCGUUGUAGCGCCGGGUGGUGUCGCGAGGGACGCUGUCUCUCCGUCCCUCCAUAAGGCUGUGACCCAGGUUUGGAAAAGCCCCAACCUUCUGGAAGAAUCUUGGUACACCAUCGUAAAUUAUAUAGGAAUCCUCCAAAGCCGCUUUUAGUUAACGAAUGUCCCGGAAGCGCAGUCGCCUUCUUAAUACACGCUUGAAGCCAUGCAUUCUGCACAAGCGUUGUUUUUAUUUAUUACCAGGAACUUUCACGCGUUGCUUGUCAUUAUCGCGCAGGUCUGGCCAUUACUACAUGUCCAGCCAGGGUUUAGAGCCCCGAGGUUGGCAGUCCCUGGGGGGCCUGAAAACUAGUCGCCAAUUGUCGGCAUCAGCGGUGGCGGCGGCGGCGGCGACAGAGGCCUCGUCCGGACCCGGGGCGGGGGCCGGCAGCGGCGGCGGCAGCGGCGGCGGUAUCCAGGGACUGUCGAGCGGUGCGGCGACACAGCUGGGUGCUGUACCAGCGGCCACUGCGUCGCCGCCGACGCCGGGGUUGGCAGCCACUGCGGUGACGGCAGGGCAGGCUGGGGCGGGAGCGCUGCGUCUGGGCUUCACCACUAUGUGCUGCGCGCCGGAGGAGCACCGGGUGCUCUAUGCAGGUGGGAGUUCGAAUCCCGGUCGGUGCGGGCGUUUUUCUUUGGCGGUUAUGGCGUUUGAAUGAUCAGGCGGGAACGAUCAGGGAUUGGACGCGAAGGUGAAAUGUGCCCUUUGGCGCGGUCCCGUAAGGCGCACAGCAGGUUGUGUAAAAACUGAUGAAUCUGUGGAAAUGGCGCAGCUACAGACGUCCGUGUGUGUUUUUCAUUGCGUCUGCUUUUAUUGUUCCAGCUUGCAGAGCAAUGCAGUUGUGUAGAGUGGGGGUAAUUUAUCGACGUCUAAGUUUGGGCCACCGCUUGUCCAAGUCCAAUACGCGGACUGUGUGAGGGACAGCUCUUCACAUGUCUGGCAUCGCUGUACGACGGUGCUGUACAUUGAUGGCUUGCAGGGACCGCCGAUGCCAGAGUGUGCGCCCUUGACUUGGAAUGCCGUCGGGUGGUGGCCGAGUGGCUUGCGGCGCCGGCAAUACGACAUGACAGCGAGGAUGCCGUCACCGCUCUGUGUACGCCUGGCGGCGGCGCCGACACCGCGGCGGCAACCUUCGGCGCCGGAUGGCCGGCGGCGCAUCCAGAGGUGGUGGCGGCGGGCUCACGGGCCGGCCGAGUGGUGGUCCUGGACCGCCGCUGCGGUACGGCAGCCGCGGCUUUCCGUGCCCACGGCGGCGAGGUGACGUCUCUCGCCUCCAGCGGCGACUUCACGUUGAUCACGGCGGGGGCCGACAAGCAGCUGCGGCUGUGGGAUCUGCGGCGUUGCGCAGCAUUGGGCAGCGGCGGCGGGGGCGGCAGCGCUGGUGCGUCUACAUGGACUACAUGCACUACCGGCUCGGGGUACGACAGUCGUACGGGUCCUUGGUCAGGAUGGCAGGGCCCGCGGGGCUGCGGCGGUGCCGGCGGCGCCGCUGCGGAGCCGUUUCGGGGCAUCCUAGACGCCAUGUCACCCGUGGCUGUUGGCGCUGCCGUGAGCGGAGGGGACGGGCUGUACGGCGGUGGGAUGGCUCCUGGCGGGGCGCUGGACGUGACGUUCCCGACGCAGGCGCUGGCACCGGGGGCCGCGGCGGCGGUUGCUUCGUCGAUGCUGACUGGGGUGGCGGGACCACCUCAGCUGCAGCUGCAGCAGCACCCCCAACAGCACGUAGCAUGGCUCGGUGUGGCGGCCCCGGCGCUCUUGCGGAGCUACCCGCUGCCCCGGGAGUGCGUUCAGGUGAGGGGGCCGCCGCCGCUGGGGAUGUGUGCUGUGAGAUGAGGGCGAUGCACGAAUGCCGUGCUACCGUGCUGUCAACGUGUUGUUAUGUUGUCAUUUUCGGCGUCGUUCAGUCAUCAAACAGACUUUUAAUGUGCGAAAGACUUGGUGAUGUGAUUUAGUCUCUCGCAGUUUUAGAGUUCUUCCUUUCGCAAUAUCACAGCUGCUUGCGCGUUUGCCUGUUUGUGCGUUUUACAGAAAACCAGUCACACGGAUUCGGUUGUUGUGGAUAGAACAUCCCAUUAUGCUUCACUAUUAGCAUGACGCAAGACUGUUACCGGUAGCCAUGUAAUGGUAUUGGUACUGGUAGCCUUGGUAACUCGGGACAGCGAACGUAUGAGCAUGGGUGUUGAAAUUCCGUUGUCCUCCAUGACGUUCAAUAGUUUCGAGGCUGACGUACACUCCUCCUAACGAACUGUGCGGCACGCUGUUUCAUAAACCCUGGUCCCUGCGUUCUGCUGUCCAGGGUCUGCGGGUGCUCCGGGAUUGUGUCUUGAUGACCUCUGGCAGCAGCAUUGGUGUCAUGGCGCUGCCCGGGGAGGCCGCCGCCGCUGGCGGUGGGGGCGGUGGGCCCAGCUUUGUACGACUGCGCAAUGGCCGCGGCGGUCGGGAGUCUGCAGCGGUCACGGGUUUGGCUGUCCUGCCUUGUAGCCGGUUGCUGGUUGUGGCGGGGGAUGACGGGGCGGUGAGGAUAUGCCGGUGAGGAUAUGCCGGUGACGCAGCAGCGGAGGGAGGUGGGGUGCUGUUGGGCUAUCUGAUUGGUUGGACAGCGCUGCUGGCGGGGGUGGGGGUGGGGGUGGGGGUGGGGGGUUGCUGUGACAUGACACUGCUGUUGCUGCUACUGCUGAUGCUGAUGCUGCGUGUGAGAGAGGAGGUUGCGUGAGAAUAAAGUACAGGCGGCAAGGAGGGAGAGUUGGAGUGGGGACGGACGGGAGGGGGUAAAGGAGGGGGGGACACGGAGGCCUCCUGGCCCGCUCCUCCCCUCCGGAUAGAGGACGAAUAAGAAUCAUAAUUGUAAUAAUGGGGAGGAGGAGGAGGAGGAGGAGGAUGACUAGGGGAAAGUAAGAGAAUAGUUGCCGAGCCCGUUCCCCCUUUGCUAGUCGGCUGCUAUCAGCAACCACCUGCCCAGGGAACCUCAGCCAGCACCAGAGGGUGGCUGAUGGUGGGGUGCGGGCUGAGAGGGUGUUGGGUUAUUGGACCGGCUAUGAGGGGAUCUCCUAUGAGGGUUUAUAAUCGUACGUAGAAAUGGUUUGCUGCUUGGGCGGGUAAAGGAUGGGGAGUGACCUGUCGGGGCAAACUCAAAUAUUGAUGGAUUUCAAUUUGGAACGCGGGCUGGGGCAGGCGCAGGAAAGCGUUGCAUAGUGCUUAGGCAGCUUAAGGUUACACGAUGGCUCGUGCAGGCACUCUUACCGUAUGUUACGGCGGAUUUCCUUUAUUGUUUAAACGUUAGGUUAUGGCAGUAGGUUGUUACGUGACAAGCGCGCACGUUGUGUGUUGAUUUUCUCUCUCUCUCUCUCUCUCUCUCUCUCUCUCUCUCUCUUCGUUGACCGUACACAUGUAUGCGAGGGUAAUUUGCAUUGUCGGCAUUACUGAUAGGGACAUGACGUACACUUGGCAAAAUGCAUUGCUGCAUGUUUUCCCGUGUUGCGUGUUUGUUGCUGUUUAUUGUGUUAUUGCAAUGAGAUGUUGUCGACUUGUCAUCGUAUGUUUGUGUGGGGAUGUAAUGGUGUGUGUGUGCGCGUCUGUAGCCCUCUCUCUCUUUCUGUGCGCCUUUCAUCGUUAUUCAUGCCGUUCUAGAGUUCCACUGUCGUUCGUCUUUUCGAUUCAGAGGAAAGGCGAUGUUUUGACUCCGGCCCUGUCUCCCGCCACUUUACCUUACGAGCACUUGCUCAUCCAAAUUUCAAACUGCUGACCGGCGCGGGGCGGGGGAAAUGGGGAUGGAAAGCUAAUCGACGGAGGCCCUGUCGGAUACAGUCGGGAGUGGUGGGUAGUUCGGGGUUUACACCAGGCAUGGGGGGGGAGACUGCCGGCGCUGGGGUAGUGUGGGUUGCCUGUCGGCCUGUCACGGUUUGCGCACUUUUCCCGGGGAAGGACCUGUUGCCGGACCUGUUGCCUGACUUUUAAACGCUCCGCCGUGGCCAGUGAUUGCAGCUUGUGAGAGUUUCAGUUAGCGUUAGCGUUAGCGUUUGCUAGUCAUGGUGAUGCAUCGCGCACUGUUGACUUCAUCAUGCUGUUAUUUACUGUUUAUAUUUGACGAGCUAAUCAUCGACGGGCAGGUGCCGUGGUGUUGUGCCGAUGACCACGCUUGCUGUAAAGGCCCCACUUCCCCCCUUUUUAAGCUGCCGCGAUAACCGGUUGUGAGGCGACGUCGCGCGCUUUUGAUGCUUUUGCUUCAAGUUCGGGGUGAGCCGUCCCCGAUCAGGUAGCCGGUGAGGCUGCAGCCAAAGUGCGUUUGUCGUUUGGGGUUAGGGCCCGAGCGGCCGGUCGGGGGAGCUGUGGAAGUAAGAGGUGCGCAUGUGCUUCUCACCAUGAACGCUACGGUACUUGUGGCGUCGCUUUGGUGGUGGUGGUGAUGGUGGGUGCAGGUAGGGAAGGUAGUGACAAGUAUGUUGUGGUUAGCAGUGGCUUGCAUUCACUUGGCCUUUCAUUACCAUGGGCAUGAUACACAACCCGUGUCGGCAUAAACGCUGCUUGGAGUGUUACUGUCUUCGCGAAGACUGCGUGAGUAGUACACAAUGGGUGUUGUGCAAGUACAGUGCGGAGAAACAGGGUUCAUGUUUGAGAAAUGGAGCGAUCGGAAGUCCAACGGCUAACCACCUGCUGCACUUGUCUCAGUUCUCCGGAUUUGAAUUGACAAUAGGUCUCAAUGACUUUUAGCCUUGAUCUUGCAGCUUACUAAAUGACGCAAUCCCGUGCAUGUAUAACGAGGCCAAAAAGGCACCCUAGUGAAACACGUCACAGGCCUCCGCAAGAAAGCAUUAACCUAAUCAUUGUGUGUGCAUCAUCUGGUGUCAAGUUUUCAUCCAGGAAUGCAACCCCCACAACACCCGCAUGCCAGAAGCUCAGGAUGCUUCUUCACCAAUUACCAGUUGUUCAGCUGAUCAUGCUUGGGCGCCACACGGACUUGUUGCCAUGCCAUUAGUAAACGCUUGCAUUAGCACCCAAUUGUUCUAUAACCACAUACACCCACAUCUCCACAUCAUGGGAUGUGCGUUUUCAACUGGCUCUAGCUCUGUAGACGUCAGCUGAUACACACUUCUGCGGAUGGCAGCAGGAGGUGUGUGUGGCCAUUGACAAAGUUCACCAUUUGAAGACACCGAACAUAACAGAAACGGAAUACUUAAGCUCCCCACACCAGCCAACACACAGCAUGUACAGGGGCAAGGUCAACAAUCAAGCGAGCCAAUCCAGAAGGUCUGCGCCAACCUGUACCACCUACCCAGAGAGCAAUCACUUGUACUGACUUCUCACGCCUCCCACAAUAAUCAACAACAUUCUGCAGCACAGCACCCCAGCGGAGUGACCUCCUUUCUAACAGCACUAUGCCAUUGCAGACCUGCCGCAGUAGCACACAACCAGCAGCCAUAACGACAGCGCGUGCAAUAGGUACAAACCUCCUCCCGCCAUGUCGCCGCAAUUCUCUGUAGAAGGUUUUCUCCUGUACAACUACAAAUGUAUGCCCACACGUGCAUGCUCAGUUGCGUCCAGUCCCCAGGUACACACAAGCUGUGGGCUCCAUCCUGCGUGCAACUCCUGAUGUCCAUCACGGCAUCCUGCCAUGGCGCAUACACCAAGUAGAGCCAUGGACAUGUAUCACAGCUUCCGACUUAGUCACCGCAACGAAUAGAUGAUGGCUACCAUGAACACACACAGCUG